UUCAUUAGUUCUUCUGACAAUUUGGCAGCUCUAUGCAGAUCAUCAUCUUCGCUUGAAAGGUCUAGAUGAAGACGUUUAGCAAUAAUAUUCUGCAAUCUAUUAAUGCUGAAAUCUUGAGACACAGUCACCCACCAAACAUGAUCACAAAUAUCUGGUCUUUGUAGAAGCUCAUUAUGGAUAUGUUGCAGUAUUGUUGUUUUACCAACUCCCCCCAUCCCAUAAAUGCCAAUGGUUGGGACUUCAUCAUCCAUUAACAAAGACCAUAUCACCUUCUUAUUCUCUUCGAAUGCUCGACCCACUGGCUUUAUAGAGCUAGUAGGUAAUGGAACUCCUCUAGUCUCACAAGAGAUACCUCUCUCCAGAUGCUGCACUUGUUCUGUUCUCGGUAUAGUUUCAGAUCCAUCAUGCAGACGCUCCACAUCCUCAUCUUCCUGCAUUAAAUAGGUAAAGAUUUCAUUCAGCUGCUGCUCCUUUGAAAGGGCAGAGUGUAUCUGAACCCAAGUGCCAUCAGCAAAUUGAUCCACUGAGUCAACUCUGAGUCUCCAGGGAGAGACACUUCUGUCAACAUGCUGAAAAGAUCCUUCACCAGUGUAUUCCAUGCCAUUUGCCACUUCUAAACGCGAAUGAAUUCUCUCAGGCCCAACACCUGGUUCCAUGCCUUGAACUCCCACUUGCAUCCUUCCAGCAUCCCCUGCCAAAUUAACAUUGCUUUGAUGUCUUUUGUUGCCACCACGCAUAGCUAGAAAGGCUGCUUCUUGAACUUCUUGAGGCACCUGACCACAAAUGCCAACACCAUGCCCUCUCUCUCCAGAUAAAUGCCCACAAAACUUACACUUCAUGCUUCCAUCAUUCAUAACUUCAACUUCCUUCCAAAACGGAUCAUCUGAUCUACCCAUUUUGUCCUAUAGAUAAAAAAGGGUCAAAAUAUUGGAUAAAAAUUAAUGGAAGUACAUUAAUUGGAAAAGGAAGGUUGAAACUAAAAUAAUAAGUUACAAACGGCAAAGAAACUAAGAAGAAAAAAAAAUGAAUUCAAGGUUAACUUGGGGUCAAUUUAGUAUGAACUCCAUAAGGCAUGGAUUGUUACAACUGAAAAAUUAUUUAUUUUUGGAAACUCUUGAUGAUCCUAUCUCCAAAGUUUCUCAUUAGAAUUUCUACAACUUGUGUUUUCCUUGAAAGAUUCAAACCAGAGUUACAUGUGAAAAACAAAAUGAAGAAGAUGGAUUAUAAAUAAUGUACCUGGAUUCAAUUUGUGCUUCAAGUGCUGGUUUGCUUUAAGCAGUAUUCAGCAGAAAAGACAAGAACAGGGAAGAAUAUACGGUUUAAAAAUAAAAGGAAGUUGCAAGAUGUUGAGCUCCAGAUGAUUCGAUUCAAUCAGAAAAGGAAGCACUGAUCAUCAGAAAGGUUUAAGAAAUUUGGAAAUCGGGAAAUCAAUGGUAUAAUGAGAUGAGAUUUGGAAGAGAACGUUACAGUAGCAAAGAUUAUUGUAUUGUUUGACAAGAAGGAAGUUGCUAGGAAGGAAGCCACAACUUUACCUACCAACUAUUAUAUUAUAAGAUAUGGCAAGUUGCUGUACACCUCAAAUUUGCAUUUCUUUUGUCUAGCGAUGCAUAUAAUUAAAAACUUCAACAAAAGAAUCAGAAGCUAAUUGCUGGCUGAGUUAACGUGUAGACCCACCCCAUUGUUGAAACUUUGAAAAAGCUGACCUGAAAAUGUAAGAGCCUGAAGCUUAGCUUCAAGAGCUGUAAGUACUAUGCUAUGAACGAUGCCUCUCAUCAAUUUUAUCUAAAUGCUGUUUAUUGCAUUAGUGAAAAAGCUAAAUGCUGUAUAUUGCACGCUGCUAAUUGAGAAAUACAGAACUCAGUUAAACCCAGCAAGUUGCUGCAUCAGAGUUAAAACUCCAUAGCAGUCAGCACAAUCUAUGAUGAUAAAAUUGAAAACAAAACAAUCAAUGACUAAAAUUACAAAAUGCAUCAAAGGUUUAGAAACAACUGAGAUAAAACACUAUUUUUCUCUCUUGAUACAUGGUAGAAGUCUGAGCAUAUUUAUUUAUUUUUUUAAUUUUAUUUUUAAUAAUAGUUGUGUUCUUUCUACCCCAAGAAAUCAUAAUUUCAUUAAACAAGAUUCUAAAGCUCAUAUUUAGAUAAAUUAGAAGAAAGACCUAUAAACUAGUGCAAAAGACCUAUAAAUUAGCCUAACAAAUCAUACCCCGAGAAGCAAAAGCCAGCUCAAUUUUUUUUUUAUUAAAUAGACUUGUUAACAUUUUUUUAUUUAUUAACAUAAAUAAUUUUAAAUUUAUUUAAUUAAAUAUAUACAAGACAUGUUUAAAAUAACUAAAUACACUGACUUUUGGCUACCAAACUAGCUUUUGGCAUUAAAAAUAUAUUUGUAAAUGUGAUAGGGAUUACUUUUCAAAGUAUUUUUUAUUUUAAAAUAUAUUAAAAUAAUAUUUAUUAUUUUUAAAAAAAUAUUUUUAACAUCAACACAUCAAAAUAAUAUGAAAACAUAAAAAAUAUAUUAAUUUAAAAUAACUUUUUUUUUAAUUUUUUUCAAAAAUACUUUUCAAUCGUAGUACCAAACACACUUCUAACCCCGUAACCUAGUCCCAAAUGCCAGCAACCGAGCAUAAAAAGGUUUCUACCCCAUGGUGCCUUUUUCUUAUUAUAAAUAUAAAAUAAAAUUUAAGUCAAAGAGGUCCAGUCUUAAAUGCUCCAAACAUUAUCCAUGUCUCAAGCUUAUGUUAUCCAAGAAUUCAUAUUUAUUACAAAAUUAUAAUUUUAUAUGAGUUUUUAUCUUAUGAUUCAAGAAGUUUAUAUUGUAAAUUCAAGAAUUUUAAGUUUAUAGUCAAUUUUAUAAUUCAUACAAAUAUUUGAUCCCUGAAUUAGUUUUCUAAUUGUUUUGCAUAAAUUCUUAAGAUUAAAAAUAUUUUAACAAUAGUUUUAGUGCUAAAAAUGCUACUCUAUUGGACUUUUAUUUCUAAUUGUAUUUUUUAAGUUUUUUGUUUCUGUAAAAUUGAUUGGAAAAAAAAAGAUUGGGUCAUGUGAGCUUAACUUGAAUUGGCAAAAUCAAAGACACAAGUGAAUAAUAAAUUUCAAUAUUCAAAUUGAAGACCGGUGGAGCAAAAUCCGACUCUGAUCUAGAGUGUGUUUGGGAAAGUCAUGCAAAUCGUGUUCUUUUAAAUUUUUUUUUUUUUGCUUCAAUUUUUUUUUAUAUGUUUUGAAAUCAUUUUGAUGUGUUGAUGUUAAAAAUAUUAUUUUGUAUAUUAUUUUGAUGUAUUUGUAAGUGAAAAGCACUUUCAGCCGCAACCGCAUUUCAUACUUGUUUGCGAUUGUGGUAGAGAUUGUGAUUUAAAGUGUUUUUCGCUUAGAAAUGCAAUAAAAUAAUAUUUUUUUAUUUUUAAAAAUUAUUUUUGAUACCAACAUAUCAAAACAAUCUAAAAACAUAAAAAAAAAUUAGCAAAAAAAAAAUUCAAAGUUUAAUGGAACACAAUUUACACAGCAUUCCUAAAUAUGCCGAAUCAAACACAUUCUAAUCUCGUUACUUUUUAGAGACCUCUUAAUUUUCAAGAGAGCCUUAACCAUUCCUUUAUGCAACUGUACGCUUUGCCAAACAAUCCUUUAGGAGAAUAGGUUCCCAACCAUGCCGAAUUGUUUUUUAAAUAAUUCAAAAUUCUUGAAACAAAACUAUAUUGAAUUGAUUUAUAUCGGCUUGGGUUGAUCUUCCCAACCCAAUCAUGUAACAAACUGUUUUUAUUAAUUCGAUCACAUUUAAAUAAAGUUUAAUAAGUCUAGAGACACUAUUAAGUAAUUUGGGACCAAAGUCUAGGACUUUGAUAAUACUUAAAUAAUAGUAAUGUUCCUACAAUAACAAUGACGUUACAUAACUUAAUGACUUUUUUUUUUUGGGAUGUACAAAGCAUAAAUAAUAAUAAUUUUGGAUGCAAAACACAGGCUGCAACGCAGAUGGAGUAAGAAAUUCCACCCCAGGAAAAAUCCAAAUACAAGUUAUUACGCUUUAAAAUAUAUUUUUUUAUGUUUGUUUUUUAAAAAUAAUAAUUUGAUAAUUUUUUUGGUAUUUUUUAAUAAUUUUAAUAUAUUAAUAUUAAAAUUUAAAAAUAAUUAAAAAAUUUAUUUCUAUAAAAAUAUUCUAAUACGUGUACUUUGUACCACAACAACAAACACAUGAAAACGUUGAAGUGAAGUAGCAGGGUACAAUCUUAAAUGGUAUAAACAUUAUUGUUAGAAUGUGAGUGGUCCCAACAUUAGUAGUGUAGCAUGUGCCAUGUCUCAAGCUCUUCUGAUCCAAAAAUCAGGCUACUAGUUGUCACUAAAAAUAAAAUAAAAUCCUCUGUGAAUUAAUUAAUUGCUCAAUUAAUCCCUAAAUUAUUUUUCUUGUUUUCCACAAAAUUUUUAAGAAUAAAAAUAUUAUUUGAUAAAACGACGAUAAAUUCUGAAAUAUUAUUUUAUUUUAUUGAUUUUGAGAGAAUAUAAUAUUUUAUAAUAUUAUGAAUUGUUGUGCGAAUUUUAUAUGUAUUUGUUUUAUUGAUUUAAUUUUCUAUUUCCUGUAUAUGCUACGCAGAUGAAUUAAUCUUCAUUUUAUAUGCUACGCUCCUAAAUUCUUACAUUUUUGUUAACAAUAAGAGAUGAAGAGGAGGUGAAGGUGUAAUUAAUGCAACCAACAAACGAUACAGAAUAUGCUCAGAUCAAGAGGACAAUCGACACAAUUGUCCCUUCCACUUUUUGUCUCUCUUCCUUGAACUCUUAACUUAGCAUCUAUCCCUUUUACUCAGACAAAACCACCAGGCACUAGUAGAAAACUUUAUUUUGAUAUAUAUAUUUUUAAAUGGACAGAAAAAACAACUUUAUGUUGUUCAUAAAGACAGAAAAAACUUAAAAAUACAAAUUAAAAAAUCUUAAGGAAUUGAUUAACCAAUCCUUUUAGUUUUUUUAUUUGUCUAUAAAGUCAGAAAAAACUUAAAAAUACAGAUUAAAAAAUCUUUGUACACGAAAAAUAGGAUGAAUUUUUGUACAAGGAAAAAAAUUCCAAGUCAUGUAAUUCGAUUAUCAUUCUUUUUUUAUUAUUAUUGUCUUAUGUCUCUCUCUCUCUCUUUUUCUUUUUAAUCUGUAUUAUAUAUUUUAAAAAAAUAAUUUGUUGCUAGUUAAUGAUAUAAGAUGAUUUGUAAUAGUGAAUAGAUAUAUUAUUUUAUUAGGUUAGUUUAAUGAUAAAUCAAUAUAGUAUUUUAUUUUUUUAUUUUUGGAUUUUCAUCAUGGAGAAACUCAAUAGGAUGAAAAUAUAAUAUUAAUCAAACUUUAAAUUAUAAUUAUUUAUCUAUCAAGUUAAAAAAAAGGUACAAAGGGACGAAGGACUAUUUAAAUUUUAAUUAAUAAGAAUAUCCUUGUUGAUUUAAAGGACUAUUUUCAUCAUUUAUAUAAAAAAUAAUUAUGUUUUGCACAUGAUUUUUAACAAAAAUCAUUGAAAGAAUGAUAUAUUAUUGAAUAUGAGCAAAUUUAAGGUUACAAAAAUGAUUAGUAUUCUUACAACGAAAGGAUUACCAAUACGAGAAUGAUGGAGAACCAAACUUUACAAAGGGACGAAGAACAUCCUUUGCAUUAGGAUGCUCCCACUCCACUACUGUCUCCCACCAUUCUUUUGGAUAUACUUUGAUGUAUUUAAGAGAAGGGGGAGGGGAUGGUUGGCCAUUUUCAAGCAACGAAAGACAAAAUGGCAUCCUCUUCAUCUUCUGACAAUUUCGUACUGUAAUGCUUUGGAGAGAAUCGCAAAUCAGUUUAGCAUUGCAAAUGCUUUUCAGUUCUCGUAAGUCUAACAAUUCCACAGUUUUUAACUUUGGGAGAAUGACUUCCGUGAUGGAAUUGGAGGUGCUGCUUUCUUCAUCUGUUGCUCCUAUUAUCUCCUCCAUUUUGUAACAGAAACUCACUUCAAUCCUUUCCAGGUUUACGAGGUUUGGCAGCAACACAAGCGGGAACAGCUUCUUCAUACUUUUACAGUCAAAACAAAAAAACUCUUUAAGACCAGAAAACGUACCGUUACAUGAUGGCAAUCGUGGUGGAGCAGAGCAGAACCAAGAAGAUGAAACCAAGCUCUCCAUGUUAUCGCAUUCCCGAAUGCUGAUGCGCUCCAGUUCAGUUGCAUUCUCUAAUGACAAAACAUCACAUAAACUUCUUGCAUCGAUGCAUUCACAAAUCAGUCCUUGAAUGCCAUUUAAGAACUUGACCUGAAAAUCUCUAUCUCCGUUGAUACUCAAAUUACCCAACCCCACUGUUUUACUUGGAAAACGUUCAAUGCGUUGCUCUAAAUAUCUACCCACCUCUCCUACUAAAAUCUUGCAUGUGCUUAAUGAUAGGAUCCCAUCCCGAGAUCUGAGAUACUCCACGAAGUCAGAAAAACCGUCGAAAAGGCACUCCAAAGUUUCCAAAUUUCUCAAGGAUCCUACUUCCUUUCCUUUAACUGUUGUUGGAGCUUUCGUAAACUUUUCUAGUACAAAGACUUGCAGGUGAGAGAGUUUUGGUAAUAUCCCACUAGGAAACUCCUUUUCACCACAUCCAUUCAUUAUAAGAUACCUCAGGUUGGUUAGGCAUUCCAUUCCUUGCGGCAUCUUUUCAAGUCGAGUACCAGAGAGAUCCAACCUCUUCAGUGCCCUGAGCUUCUUUAAUGAUGGAACAUAUCUUAACUUGUCACACUCACGGAGCAAUAACGCAGUGAGACUCACCAAAUCAGAGACAGAGUCUGGCAAAUUUCCAAUACCUGUCCAAGACAGAUCGAGGACCUUAAGCCCAUGCAAUUGCUUGAAAAAUGAAUCCGCAAUAAAUCCCAACCAAUGAUUUUGACAUAGCAAUAGAGUUGAUAGAUAGGGACACCUAGGUGAAUGGCUGGAAGGAAUUUCUUCGAUCUUGUUUGCCAUUAGUGAAACUCUCGUCAGAUUCUCCGUCCACUCCUCUGCAUCUGGCAACUCUUUUAAUUGUGUGCACCUGCUUUGACCAUGCCUUGAGAGUUCUCUAGCAGUAUUCGGAUGGCCAUGUCCCUAAUCAAGUCAUGCAUCUUGACAUGACUAAUAUCACUUUCCAAUAGGCAGACAUUUUCAAGUCGAUUAAGCAUCGUGUGGCCCUCAUCAAAUGCAUCUCCCCUGCUCCUCUUUCCUUUAAUUAUUCCCUCAUCGAUCAAAGAACCUAUCAACUCCUCCCUUUGAAUAUAAACAUCUUCACGAAAUAAUGCACAGUACAAGAGACAUUGUUGUAGUGCUAAAUCACCUAACCGAUCAUAACUAAACCUCAAUAACUUGAAUACUUCAUUGUCCCUAAAUUCUGAUUCUCUCAAUUUGUUCAAUGUAUUUCUCCACUCAUGUAGGUCAUCCACUCCCCUCAAGCUUCCUGCCACUGUAAUAAUUCCUAAUGGCAAACCAGCACAUUCCCUUGCAACAGCUUUCGCAAUUCCUUCCACUUCUGGUGAAAGUGCUACAUCACGUUGAAGCUUCUCCAUGAACAAAGUCCAAGCUUCUCCAUUAGAAAGUGGCUUCACUUUGAUUUUGUGCUGGCAAGCCAUCCGAUGACAAACCGUUUCUGAUCGAGUUGUCAUAAUCAGCUUGCAUCCUUCCAACUUUUCAGGAAUUCCCACUUUGUGUAGCUCAAAAUUGUUCCACAAAUCAUCUAAAAUGAGAAUCCAUUUUUGUUUCUUCCUUAGUUCUUCUGACAAUUUGGCAGCUCUAUGCAGAUCAUCAUCUUCGCUUGAAAGGUCUAGAUCAAGACGUUUAGCAAUAAGAUUCUGCAAUCUAUUAAUGCUGAAAUCUUGAGACACAGUCACCCACCAAACAUGAUCACAAAUAUCUGGUCUUUGUAGAAGCUCAUUAUGGAUAUGUUGCAGUAUUGUGGAUUUACCAACUCCCCCCAUCCCAUAAAUGCCAAUGGUUGAGACUUCCCAUCCAUUAACAAAGACCAUAUCACCUUCGUAUUCUCUUCGAAUGCUUGACCCACUGGCUUUGUAGAGCUAGUAGGUAAUGGAACUCCUCUAGUCUUGUUGUAUUUCAGACUUUCAGAAGAUCUAGCUCCAGCACUAACCUGCACUGAUCUUCGACUAUUCUCCACAUCCUCCUCCACUGGUUCUGUCCUCACUCUAACCCGAUUAAUUCUCUCUUCCCCGGCACCUUGUUCCAGCACCCCCUGAACUCCCACUUGUAUCCUUCCAGCAGCCCCUGCCAAAUUGCCAAGUACUGCAUUGUUUUGUUCCAACGAUCGAUCCACUGGUUCUGUCCUCGGUCUGCUCUCGAGUGCCCCUUCAGAAACUCCAUCUUCUUGUGCUCUCAUUCUGGUCAUGCUUACUACGUCGUUUCCUGCUAUUGCAUGUGAAGUAAUCCUCUCUUCCCCUACUCCGGGUUCUACAACCUGAACUUCUCUUUGUACCCUUCCAAUUCCUCCUCCCAUAUUUUCAAUCUCAAUGUUUUGUUCUUGUGGACAAGUUGAAAUUCUAGAAUCAUUAACAUUGAUUGAACUUUCUGUGCUUUUAAGUCUUUUGUUGCCACGACACAUAGCUUUCCAGGCUGCUUCUUGAACUUCUUUAGCCACCCCACGACAAAUGGAAACACCAUGCCCUUCUUCUCUUGAUAAAUGCCAUUUGAUCCUUGAAAUGGAAGUUUUAGUGGCAUAUGUAUGUGGACAAAACUUACACUUCAUGCUACCAUCAGCCCUUUCUUCAACAUAAUUCCGAAAUGAAUCAUUUGAUCCACCCAUUUCAACCUAUAGAAAAAAAGGCGGGGUCAAAAUAUAGAAUAAAAAUCAUUCAAAAUAAAGAAUAAAAAUCAUAUCUGGAUGGAUGAAAAACUACUUCUUUAGUGUUGUUACCCUUAUUUUGCUAUUAAAAUUGAUAGUUAGUUUAUUGCACAAUCAUAGGAGGUAAAAAGACGACGAUAAUUUAAUUAGACUUCUUACUUGUUGAGUAUUUAAACCCCUAUUUUGACUUUGCAGGGAAGUGUCAAGGCCGGGAUUUGAGGCAUUUGGCAUAGCAGUUUGAUUUUGCAAUCCUCGGACUUGGAGGUUAUCCAUCUGUGACCUAAAUAUAUACAAAUGAAUUGAUCAUAUUAUAAAACCUUUCCAUAAUUGGUAGUCUCUCUUAAACAGUAAAAGUUAAUGGUGUUAAAACACAACAGAUAGAAGUCAGUCAGUACCCAGGCACGAAGUUCUCUUGCUGGACAUUGUCUAUGUUAGGAAUUACAGCAGCUGGAUCGACUUGUCCUUGAUUAGAAAAAUAUUGACUCCUGAAUCCAAAAUCAUUUGCAAACAAUAUGUUUAGCUUAUUGGGUUCAUGUUCAAGCUAUGAUGUUUCCUUCCUGGUUGAAAAACUAUUUUUUAUAUAUAUAUAGAAAAUACUAAACGUGAAAAAUUGGAUACCGGGGAGCAGGAAAAGAAGGUCCAGGUUGAAUGAAGCCACCAUGUUCUGAAGUGGUUGCGUUCGGUGUCAUAUAGGCAUGUCCCGGCUGAGGUUGAUGAAUAUUGGAGUACUGAUGCCUGAAUAAUAUUCAAAUAGUUAAACUUAGAACUGUUAUUCUAACUUGGUUGAUUUUCUAGUUCCAUUAUGUGCACAAGACAAAAACAAAACAUAGAGAUAGAGAGCUCAGAAAGACUCGAAAGAUCCUCGUCAAUUCUGGUCAAGUUUAUUGUUUUCAUGAUUAAAUAAGUGUAUAUUCAAAGUUAAUACCAUUGAUUCAAUGGAGGUUGAGGUCCAGGUAGCAUCGCAGGCACUUGAUUCCUCAUUGGUAACUGAUAAUUAGUCCAUUGUUGGUCCCUAAAUUAGCAACAUUUGUUAGUAAUUUCUUUAUACAUAUACGCGUAAUUCUUUACUAUUACUCCACUAAGCAUUUGAUAUCAUUUUAGCUUACCUCAAAGGCAUUGACGGUCCAGGUAGCAUGGGAUUGGCACAUCGAGGAUCAGAUAAAUUAGGAUGAGGCAGAUACCUAUAUUCAAAUAUAAUGAAUUCAUUUAGUGUAAUAAAUUGGCAUCACUGAUAAGAAAAUUAGGCAGAUAAGUAGAACAACAACAAGAAGUUAAAUAAUUAUGAAUAUUAUGUACAAGAAGAAUUUAAAUAAUGAUUAUUCUCACUUAGUUGAUUUUCUAGUUUCAUUAUGUGAUGCAAAUCAGGAGACAGGGGAAACAGGGGACUCUUGAAAGCUGAUUAUUAACUGUAGUUAUUAUUUUUCAAGUUUAUUGUUUUCAUGAUUAAAAAAGUGUGUAUUCAAAGUUAAUACCAUUGAUUUAUUGGAGGUUGAGGUCCAGGUAACAUCGCAGGCACUUGAUUGCUCAUUGGUAACGGAUAAUUAGUCCAUUGUUGGUCCCUAAAUUAGCAACAUUUGUUAGUGAUUUCUUUAUACAUAUGCAUAAUUGUUAGCUAUUAAUCCACUAAGCAUUUGAUAUCAUUUUAGCUUACCUCAAAGGCAUUGAUGGUCCAGGUAGCAUGGGAUUGACACAUUGAGCAUCAAAUAAAUUAGGAUUAAGCUGAUACGGUGAUACCUAUAUUCAAACAUAAUGAAUUCACUGAUAAGUACAACAACAAGAGGAAGAAAAGAAGAAGUUAAAUAAUGAUUGAAAAACUUUUUUUUUUAACAGAAAAUACUAAAAAUGAAAAAUUGGAUACCGGGGAGCAGGAAAAAGAAGGUCCAGGUUGAUUGAAACCACCAUGUUCUGAAGUGGUUGCGUUCGGUGUCAAAUAGCCAUUUCCCGGCUGAGGUUGAUGAAUAAAGGAAUUAUGAUGCCUUGAUGGAGUUUGAGGCCAAUUUUAUAUAAAACUUAACGAUAAAAAAAAUCAUAAAAAAAAAUCUGUUGUCUGUUUGUUUAACAAUAAACAUUUUGAAGAUGCUCGAGAUAAAUUGAUACACGAAAACAUAAAACUUUUUGAUCCAAUGGGUGAUACAAACACUUGCUAAUUCAAUGGACAUUGUAGCAAAUUGGAGUAGGCAUGAGCACUCACCAUGGUUUGACGAAAUGAAGGUGGAAACAGAGUUGUUUGUUGAAGACUAUCGUUGAUCACAUUGUUAUCCACCACCAUGUUCUGUCCAUCUUGAUCAUUGCAUAAUAUGGAGCUUUGGUUGCCUGAAACCUCCGGUGGCGACCUGCUUAAUUUGUUAUUAGGAACAUUAUUCUUUUUGGGGAAUAAUAAGAAAAACUGUAGAAUAACUAAAUUGCAAGUAAUCAUCUUCUGAUAAAAUAUGCUUAAGAAUGACGUACGAGAGAAACUCAGAAAUAUUGAAUGAAUCUUCUGGUGAUUGAAAAUCGAACUGAUUCGAUGUCAAGUUGACAUCAUCCUCAUUACAAGACGGUGGGACUCCUUCCAUCUGAGGUUUAAAAAAGAACAGAAAGCACAGAUUAGAUAAGAAUAUAUAUAUAUAGAUUAGAUAAGAAUAUAUAUAUAUAUAUAUAGACACACACACAUGACUUAUUUAUUUGUUAAAGAAAUUCGGAUGAAAAAUAGGAAAUAUAAAUGUUGCUGUUAAUUAUUUAAUUCUUUGUUUUAAUGCUAAAUUAUUUGUCACUUGUUGUGAACAAGUUUAAUGAAAGGUAAUUAAUACUGAUCAAGUUAAUUCAUGAAUCAGUAAAAAACAACUUCAUUGAAUCAUUAUGUCAGAAAAAUAUUGGAUAAAAAUAAUUAAUGGCAGUCCCACAGGGCAUGGAUUACAAAAUCCCAUAUAUAAGGAGUUAAAAACAGCAAAGAAUCUUCAAAAGACAAAAACACUGAAUUCAAGGUUUAGGGUUAAUUUAAUCAGUAUGAACACCACAGGGCAUGGAUUACAAAAUCUGAGAAAAAGAUCGAUUUAUUUAUCAUGGAUUACUUUAAAGAUUCAGACAAGAUGAAGUACAAAUAAUUUACCUGGAUUCAAGAUGUUCUUCAAGUGCUCGCUGUUUGCUUAAGCAGUGAUCAGCCAAAAGAAAAGGAAGAGAAAUCACAGAUCAGAGAAGAAUAUAAGGCUUGGAAAAAUAAUAAAGUUGCAGCAUACAUAAAUCUAGUUCGCACUGAUCAUGAGAUGGGGAAAGGAAAAUAGGGAAUUCUACAAUGAGAUGAGAUGUGGUGAAGAGAAUGUUACAGCAGCAAGGUCGCCUCAAUAAUAAUAAUUAAUUAACGUAUUGUUUGAUAGGAAGGAAAUUGCCAGGAAGCAACCCAAACAUAUUACAUUAUCAGUUAUAGAAAAAUAACGUGUGGACCCGCCCCAUGUUCACACUUCGAAGAAGCUGCCAAGAAAAUGUAAACACAUGAAAAUGAGAAUGAAUAGCAUAUUUGUGCAUUGAGUGAAGUUUUUUUUUUAAUUAUUUUUUAUUUAAAAAUAUAUUUAAAUUUUUUAUAAAAAUUUUUUUAUAUUGCCACAUAAAAACAAUUCAAAAAUAUUAAUUACAAACAGUCACUUGAUAUAAUUUUACAGACUUUUAAUUAGCCUCACUCAUUUGAGCCAUGUCAUGGAUUAAUGGUUCACAGCAACUCUUCAUUCUGUGAUCUUUCCUGCCCUACCUAGAACAACCCACCCCGACAUAAAUAAUAAUAAUUUCACAGUUGAAUCAUGUUUUUUUAAAAACUUGAUAUUUUUUUUAUUAUAAAUUAAUUUUUUAAAUAUUUUUAGAUUAUUUUGACAUUUUAAUGUUAAAAAUAAAUUUUAAAAAAUAAAAAAAAUAUUAUUUUAAUAUAUUUUAAAUAAAAAAAACAUUAUCUUAUUCUAUGAUAGUAUACCUGAACUUUUCCACACCAAUAGAAAUUUUUUUUUUCCAACACUCUUCUACAGAUUUUAUAUUCCUAGCCCUCGACCUAUAAAGUAUGAUUUGCUUCCAAUCUGCACACUAGUUUUCCAUUAAUACAAAGAUGAUCGUGUUUUUUUGUUGCUAAAAUUGCCGGCCAAUAAUUUAAGAGGUGCGUUUAUUUAAGAGGUACAUCAGUCAAUGAGUUUGGAGUACAAAUUUAUAUUUUCCAUAUCUAUAAAGUAUGAUUUGCUAUCCAAUCUGUACACCAGUUUUUCAUUAACACAAAGAUGAUAGUGUUUUUUUUUUUCUGCCAAAAAUUAUCAACCAAUAAUUUUCCAUCAUUUUCCGAGUUUUUCAGUGACUUUUUGUCAGUUAAAAAUAUAAAGAUUUUUGUGGUGAUUUUAGCCCAACUUUGGGGUAUCGAGUCUCCACUGAGAAAUUAAAAGAAUAGAAAAAUAUAUUACAUGGAGACAAAUUAAGAGAAUAGAAGAAAAUAUUAAAUGAUUUAAUAGAGAAUAAAAUUUAAUUUUAAAUGCAAAUUAAAAUAAAGCAAGGUGACUAAUGGAGAAAGUAGUGGAAUUCUACAAAGAGUAGAACGUCGGGAAUCCUUGCACACAUUUGGUAAAAGUCUGAGCACAUUUAUUUUUUUAUUUUUAUUUUUAUUUUAAUAAUAUUACUGUUAUAUCUACCGCCUAGAAAUCAAGAACGCUAGUUUCAUUUAAGAGAUUCUAAAGUUCAUAUUUAGAUAAAUUAGCAGAAAGGACGAGAACACAACAAAUCAUACCCAGAGAAGCAAGAGCCAGAAACAAGCUUCCUCAAUUCCUGCUCCACCUGGCUAAGAAAUGCAGCGUGCCCACUUGGAAUUACACAUCCUCCAAAUUCCAGGGCAAAUAAUUGGUUGGAAUUGUUUUCGGAGGAGUCAUCUCAAAUUUGAAAAUAAAAACAGAAAAUAGAUCCAGCAAAUGAUUCCAAAUAUCUUCUAAAAAGAACAAUGAAAUAUGUUUUUUUAUUUACUGUAAGGAAAGAUAUUAAUGGAAAAAAUAAAAAUAAAAAAAUUUAAAAAUAUAUAAUAAGUCAAAAUCUAGACUUAAAAUCUAACUCGUAUCAGGUUCCUAGUUGAAUUGAUAAUUGAAUAAGAAGGUGGGAAAGGGAGACAGCGAAAGGUGUCAAACAGAAAAAGAAAAAAGAAAAAAAAGAUACAUAUUCCAGAGGAGAGAGUCAAAGAUGGCGACUGGUUCAAAGGACGAGCUUAUCUCAUGAAUCAUUUUUUAACCUUUAUGGUAAGACUUGACACGUGUCCUCUAAACCCUCCUGUCCCUCUUCCGAUCCUUGCUAAACCCCUUGUUCUGGUCGUAAUCAUCCAUUAGCGUAAACCUAUGCUUCUCUUGACUUUGAUCCCAAUAAACCAACCCAUAGAGUUGGUGGUAAUGUAAUUGAUAUUACUUUUUAAAUUAUUUUUAUUUAAAAAUAUCAAAUUAAUUUUAAUGCGUUGGUAUUAACAAAAAUUAAAAAACAUUAUACUAAUAUAUUUUUAUUUGAAAAAUAUUUUUUAAAAAACCGUAUGUAGAAUUACUAAACACCCUUAAACCAGUGGACAAAGACACAAACGACAAGAUACAAAGCAAAAGGUAUAAAAGCAUAUAUAUGCUGGCAAAGCAGGACCGACAAUGGAACUCCAUGAAGAACAGCAAAAAAAGCAUGGGAUUUUGACGGUGCCGCUCAAAAGUGUGGAUGCGGUUUACGAGGUUUGACAGCAACACAAGUGAGAACAGCUUCUUCAUACUCUUACAUCCAUAACAAUAAAACUCUUUAAGACCAGAAAACAUACCAUUUUAUGAUGGCAAUGAUGGUGGAGCAUUGCAGAACCAAGAAGAUGAAACCAAGCUCUCCAUGCUAUUGCAAUCUUGAAUGUUGAUGUCCUCCAGUUCAGUUGCAUUCUCUAAUGACAAAGCAUCACAUAAACUUCUUGCAUCGAUGCAUUCACAAACCAGUCCUUGAAUGCCAUUUAAGUACUUGACCUGUAAAUCUCUCUCUGUUGAUACUCAAAUUACCCAACGCAACUGUUUUACUUAAAAAAACUCAAUCCUACCUGAUUUAUUUAAAAAAACAAAAUUAGGAAAAUUAAGAAUUUUUUUUUUUAUGAUAUGCCAUCUAUCUGCACUCCCUGCUAACUCUUCGCUUCAUAUCUUAAGUUAUAUCUAUCAAGUUAGAUUUAUCAAGUUUGCUUAAUUAAGAUGGAAUAUUUAUGACUUUUAAAUGUAUUAAGUUAAUAUAAUUGUACAUGGCAUGCACUUUAAAGCUCCGAACAUCAGUCAAUGAUUUAACAAAGAAUAAAAUUUUAUUUUAAAUGCAAAUUAUAGGUUGUUGGUGCUGGUUUUAUUAAAUCAAUAUUAUAGUAAAACAAUUAAAUCAAUACAGAUAAAUAAAUGAUCCAAAUUAAUCCAUUUAAUAGAGAAAACAUGACUGAAUCCACAAACUACAUAAAUCCCUUUUUCUUUCUUCCCCCUUUUCUUCUCUGGUGCAACUCCCACGCGUCUUCUUUAUGCCAAAUACCCCUCUUUUCAAAUUAGGCAGCUUCAACCUCCUUUUUCAUCACGUCUCCAUGAUCCCCGCUGUGUCAAAAACAAAUUGCCUAGAUUUUAGGACUUUUUUUUGGCAGCCACGUACAUGCUUUAGGAGUUCCUUUUUUGAAAUCCUCAUUAGAGGCUAAUAUCUAGCCCUUCAAGAUACCUUUCCAACGCGUCAAGAAUCACAGCAAUUCAAUGUGUAAGUGGAAAGUUAUGAUUAAAAUACUAAAGUGUGUGGAGGCUGUUUCCAAGAAAAACGAACAUUACUCCUAUUUUAAGUGUAUCUUUUGAUGUUUUCCAGUUUUGAAAAUGCGCUUAAGCUUUUAAAUGUUUUUUGUAUUUGUCUCUAGAAAAUAUUAAUUUGAUAAUUUCUCUAGUAUGUUUCAAUAAUUUUAAUAUAGUGAUAUUAAAAAUAAAAAAAAAUUACAAAAAUUAUCUCUAAAAUACACUUUAAAUAUAUACUUUAUACCACAAUAUGUCAUGAAAACAUAGACCCAAAAGCCUUCGACCGAGCAUAAAAAGGUUUUCAACCCAAUCAUGCUUUUUCCUUAUUAUAAAUACAAAAUAAAGUUCGAGUGAAGUAGUAGGGUACAAUCUUAAAUGGUCCAAACAUUAUCGUUAGAAUGUGACAGUGGUCCCAACAUUAACGUAGAAUGUGCCAUGCCUCAAACUCCUAUGAUCAAAAAAUCAGGUUAUUGGUGUUUGAUGAAAUUAGUUGUCACUAAAAAUAAAAUAAAAUCCUUUGUGAAUUAAUUAAUUAUUCAAUUCAACCCUAAAUUAGUUCUUGUUUUCCACAAAUAUUUUAAGAAUAAAAAUAUUUUAUUAGAUGUUUAGACACUCCACAAUUAUAAUAUUUUAUUUAAGUUUAAAUUUUUAUUUUAAAUAUCGAAUUUUAUGGAGGUUGACGCCAUUAUACCUUGUAAAUUCAUGUUUAUAUGUUUUUGUUUUCUAAUAUGCAUGUUUAAAUAUAAUGUUCUUAUAGCAUCAACUUCACUAUCUAGCUGCUUUUUUUUUAAAUUUUAAAUUUUUUUAUUGAAUUUUUUAAAAAAAUAUUUUUUUUUAAAAAAAAAAAAUAUAUUUCUAAACAAAAAUAUUUUGAAUUGCAAUGGCUAUUAUAAUCACAAAUAUAUUUUUAUGAUUUGCGAGGUAUUUGUUUUGCACCUGUUUUUAUGUUUAGGAUGAAAAAAAAUAAAACAAAUCAAAUUUUUAAAAACACUAGGUUUCCAAACAAGAUAACGCAUCAAAAAUCACAGCAAUCCGACAUAUGAGUGGAAAGUUGUAAUUAUAUUUUUAAAGUGCAUCCAAGAUGUUUCUAAGGACAAAAAACACUACUACUUUUAGAGUGAUUUUGACAAUGCAGAAGGGAACGUGGAUGUUGUUAUUUUUAAAAAUUUUAAAGUAUUUUUAUUUAUAAAUAUAUUAAAAUAAUAUAAUUUAAUAUAGAAUAACUCAAAAAUUAAGACCAGUCUUCAAUCUUCACAAACUUUAAUAUGUAUUAAGUCAAAUUUGUGUAAUUAGAUUUAUCAAGUUUGCUUAAUUAAGAUGGAAUAUUUAUGACUUUUACAUGAUAAGCUUUUAUUGAUAUUCUAUUUUUAUUGAUAGUAUAUGGUGUGCUUUUAUUUAAGAGGUUCAUCAGUCGAUGAGUUUAGAGUACAAUGAACGCCAUACUCCUUUCUUUCAAAACAUCUCAUGAUCUACAUGAGAAGUUUAAUUUAAUUAAUUAAAUUUUAAAUUUAUUUUUAAAAAUUAUCAGUUUAAAUUUAAAAAAUUUCAGAACCACUGAUAAUUUAUAUAAUCAUUAAUUUCAAGACCUAUAAAAUUAGUCAAGAUAUACACAAGCUAACCCAAAUAUAUUCGUUAGUAAAAAAAAAAUGUCAUGAUCGGGCACUCUUCCAUAACCGUGGAAAUUAUUAUUUUUCAAAUUCCCUUCUACAAAUUUAUAUUUUUAGCCCUCCAUCUAUAAAGUAUGAUUUGCUAUCUAAUCUACACACCAGUUUUCCAUGAACAAAAAGAUGAUCCUGUUUUUUUUGUUAGAAAAUUUUUAUAUUUUAAUAUAUCUUCAACCUCCUUUUUCAUCACGUCUCCCCGUUGUGUCACAAACAAAUUGCCUAAAGUGUGUGGAGGCUGGUUCAAAGUGAAAUUUUACGACUGCUGGGCCUUGACUUGUCUGUUUAAUUUCUAUUAUUUUUAUUCACAUUUUAGCAUUUUAUUCCAAUGAUAGAACACACUUUCAUAGACUCAUCAAAACCCUAGGAACGUAAUCAAGCUUUAGCUUCAAACAACCAGAUCGGGAGAUUUAGUGCAGUGGAGAACUUCAACAUCUACUAUGAAGCUUGAUUUGCUAUCCAAUCUUCACAUCAGUUUUCCAUUGAUACAAAGAUACUGUAUGUGUUUUUGUUGCCGGAAAGUUGUUCGAUCAAUAACUUUUUAUCUUUUUCCAAGUUUUUUUUGUUUGAUUCUUUUUUUCCUUUCAUCUCAAACUCAUGAACUACAAGGUAAACAAAGUAAAAUUUUAGAUCAAAAUAAAAAAUAAAAAUAUAUAAGAUGCAAAAAAUUAUAAGGUAAACGAUAAACUAAAUUUUAGAAUAUGUCUCUUAACUAUUCGUAAGCUUCCUAUUCCUUUUUAUUUUUUCUUGAAGUUAUUCUAUUUGAUGUCAUGAGUGUUCCAUUGAGAGAUAAAAAAGAAGACAAAUUGUCAUCCUCUUCACCUUCUUACAGUGCAUUACAGUAAUAUCUCUAAGAGAAUUGUAAAUCAAUUUUUGCACUGCAAAUACUUUUCAGUUCCGGUAAAUCAAACAAUUUCAGAAUUUUCCAAGAUAAACAGAUUUUUAAAUGCACUCAAACAUAAUUUUAAAUAUAAAAACAAAUUAUGUUUUUUUGAUUGCGGCAUAACAAUGUUGGCAGUACCGUUGUUGUUUGGACUUUGAGCAGCAGUAGAUAUCUCCAGCGUACUGUUACCUGCCGGCUAGAAAAUGUAUGUUUAUAAAAGUUGUGUUUGGUAACAGAUUUUUAAAUGCAAUCAAACAUAAUUCUGAGUACAAAAACAAAUUACGUUUUGAUUGUGAGCAUAACAAUCUUGGCAGUAAGUACCAUGAUUCUUUCCAAUUGAGUUAAUUUUAAGAUUUUUUUUGACAGCCACGUACAUGCUUUAGGAGUUCUUUUUAUUAAAUCAAUAUUAAAGUAAAAAAAAUUUAAAUCAAUACAGAUAAAUAAAUGAACUAAAUAUAAUCAAACAAUUAAUCCAUUUAACAGAAAAAACAUUACUGAAUCCAUAAACUACAUUAAUCCCUUUUUUUUUCUUGUUUGUUUUUUUUUUCUCUCUGGUGGAAUUCCCACGCGUCUUCUUUAUGGGCAGCCCCACUUUUAAACCCUCUUUUUCAUCAUGUCCCCAUGGUCCCCGUGUCCCACACGUUUUCAUCAAAAACCUAAAUUUUAGGACUUCUUUGGCAGCCAUCUAACAAUAUAUAAAAAUAAUAUUUUUAUUUUUAAAAAAUUAUUUUUAACAUCAAUACAUUAAAAUAAUCUAAAAAUAUAAAAAAAUUAUUUAAAAAAAAUCAAAAUUUUUAAAAACACAAGCAUUCCCAAACAAGGUAACGGGUCAAGAAUCACAGCAAUAUAACAUGUGAGUGGAAAGUUGUGAUUAAAAAACAUUAUUACUUUUAGAGUGAUUUUGACAGCGUACCAGGAAAUGUCAUUAUUGUUAUUUUUAAAAUAUUCUUUUUAUUUAUAAAUAUAUUAAAAUGAAAGUUGUUAAUUUCGUUUCGUUUUAUUUGUAAUGACUUCAUAUCAAUUCAAAAAAAAAAAACAAAAUAAUUUUCAUCUCAUUUCAAAUCUCGGUCCCUUCUAAAUUUUUCAGCUAAAUUCCGUUCAGAAUGUUCCGGUUUCAUUCCACAUGUUCUGUUCCGGUCUUAAAAAGCCAUUGAAUCAAAGUAUAAAAAGCUCUUUUUCAUUAUUAUUUUCAUUAACUAUGAUAUUAAUUUUUUAAAAUUUGAUUUAUCACUAAUAUAUAUGGUUUAUAUUCAUGUUGUUUUUUUUCAAGUUUAUACUUUGUAGAAAUUUAAGCAAAAAAGUAGAUGUUUUAGAUCUCAUUAGCCUUAAUAACAUUGACCUCGCUUUAUAUUUAAAAUAUUAGUGUUAAAAUAUUUUAAUUUUAUAAUAUUUGAUAUUUUAUUGAAGUUGAAUUGUUUUAAGUUAAAAAUUAUUUAAUCUUAACUAUUUAAAAAUAUUUUAAAUUUUAAAAUUAUAUUUCAUCACGUCUCUAUGAUCCCCGUUGUGUCAAAAACAAAUUGCCUAAAUUUUAGGCUUUAGCAGUUCCUGACUCCAGCUGGGCCUUGACUUGUCUGUUUAAUUUCUAUUAUUUUUAUUCCAUUUUAGCAUUUUAGCAUUUCAUACUCAUCAAAACCACUGGAACGCAAUCAAGAUUUAGCUUCAAACAACCAGAGGGAGAUUUUCUAGGGAUAAAAUUUUAAAAAUCACGCCUAUGCUACUUUCUAAUUUUAGUAUUAAUUUAGUAUUUAAAAAAUGUGUUUAGAAACCAAAACUGCCACAUUCAUACUCUCUUAGACAGAAGAAUACUUUCAGUGAUGAUUUAUAAUAGUGAAUAGAUUUAUUAUUUUAUUAGGUUACUUUAAUGAUAAAUCAAUAUAUUAUUUUUUUUUUUUUUGGAUUUUCAUCUUGGGGAAACUCAAUAGGAUGAAAAUAAAAUAUUAAUCAAACUUAAAAUUAUAAUUGUUUAUCUAUCGAAUUAAAAAAAUAUAUGACAAUUCAGUGGCCUUUAAUGAAAUAAAAAAAAUGAAAAAUGUUAUUUAUGUAAUUGUAAGCACACUAUAUUAUAUUACUUUACAAAAGGGACGAAGGACAUCCUUUGCAUUAGGAUGCUCCCACUGCACUACUGUCUCCCACCAUUCUUCUGGAUAUGCCAUGAUUUUUUUAAGAGAAGGGGGAGGAGAUGGCUGGCCAUUUUCAAGCAACGGAAGACAAAUUGGCAUCCUCUUCAGCUUCUCACAACGCACCACACUAAUAUGUUCAAGAGAAUUGCAAAUCAGUUUUGCACUGCAAAUGCUUUUCAGUUCCGGUAAUUCAUACAAUUCCAGAGUUAUUAACUUUGGGAGAAUGACUUCCGUGAUGGAAUUGGAGGUGCUUCUUUCUUCAUCUGUUGUUCCUAUUAUCUCCUCCAUUUUCUCACAAUCAUUAACUUCAAUCCUUUCCAGGUUUACGAGGUUUGGCAGCAACACAAGCGGGAACAACUUCUUCAUACUUUUACAGUCAACACAAAAAAACUCUUUAAGACCAGAAAACGUACCGUUACAUGAUGGCAAUCGUGGUGGAGCAGAGCAGAACCAAGAAGAUGAAACCAAGCUCUCCAUGUUAUGGCAUUCCCGAAUGCUGAUGCGCUCCAGUUCAGUUGCAUUCUCUAAUGACAAAACAUCACAUAAACUUCUUGCAUCGAUGCAUUCACAAAUCAGUCCUUGAAUGCCAUUUAAGAACUUGACCUGAAAAUCUCUAUCUCCGUUGAUACUCAAAUUACCCAACCCAACUGUUUUACUUGGAAAACGUUCAAUGAAUUGCUCUGAAUAUCUACCCACCUCUCCUACUAAAAUCUUGCAUGUGCUUAAUGAUAGGAUCCCAUCCCGAGAUCUGAGAUACUCCACGAAGUCAGAAAAACCUUCGAAAUGGCACUCCAAAGUUUCCAAAUUUCUCAAGGAUACUACUUCCUUUCCUUUAACUGUUAUCGGAGCAUAUCUUCGAUCAAUUAACCUUUCCUCUAGUACAAAGACUUGCAGGUGAGAGAGUUUUGGUAAUAUCCCACUAGGAAACUCCUUUUCACCACAUCCAUUCAUUCUAAGAUACCUCAGGUUGGUUAGGCAUUCCAUUCCUUGUGGCAUCUUUUCAAGUGUAGUGCAAGAGAGAUCCAACCUUCUCAGUUCCCUGAGCUUCUUUAAUGAUGGAACAUGUCUUAACUUCCAACAAUCAUUGAGCAAUAAUGCAGUGAGACUCACCAAAUCAGAGACAGAGUCUGGCAAAUUUUCAAUACCUAUGGAAGACAGAUCGAGGACCUUGAGCCCAUGCAAUUGCUUGAAAAAUGAAUCUGCAAUAAAUCGCAACCAACGAUUUUUACAUAGCAAUAGAGUUGAUAGAAAGGGACACCUAGGUGAAUAGCUGGAAGGAAUUUCUUCGAUCUCGUUUCUCAUUAGUGAAACCAUCGUCAGAUUCUCCGUCCACUGCUCUGCAUCUGGCAACUCUUUUAAUUGCGCACCUGCUUUAACCAUGACUUGAUAUUCGUCUUGCAGUAUAUGGAUGGCCAUGUCCCUAAUCAAGUCAUGCAUCGUGUUGCCCUCAUCAAAUGCAUCUCCCCUGCUCCUCUUUCCUUUAAUAAUUCCCUCAUCGAUCAAAUAACCUAUCAACUCCUCCCUUGCAAUCAUAUCAUCUUCAGGAAAUAAUGCACAGUACAAGAGACAUUGCUUUAGUGCUAAAUCACCUAACCGAUCAUAACUAAACCUCAAUAACCUGAAUACUUUAUCAUCUAUGUCCCUAAAUUCUGAUUCUCUCAAUUUGUUCAAUGUAUUUCUCCACUCAUGUGGGUCAUCCACUCCCCUCAAGCUUCCUGCCACUGCAAUAAUUCCCAAUGGCAAACCAGCACAUUCCCCAGCAAUAUCUUUCGCAAUUCCUUCCACUUCUGGUAAAAGUGCUAUGUCACGUCCAAGUUUUUCCAUGAACAAAGUCCAAGCUUCUCCCUCCGAAAGUAGCUUCACUUUGAUUUUGUGCUGGCAAGCCAUCCUAUGACAAACCGUUUCUGAUCGAGUUGUCAAAAUCAACUUGCAUCCUUCCAAUUUUUCAGGAAUUCCCACUUCGUGUAGCUCAAAAUUAUUCCACAAAUCAUCUAAAAUGAGAAUCCAUUUUUGUUUCUUCAUUAGUUCUUCCAACAAUUUAGCAGCUCUAUGCAAAUCAUCAUCUUCGCUUGAAAGGUCUAGAUGAAGAUGUUUAGCAAUAAGAUUCUGCAAUCUAUUAAUGCUGAAAUCUUGAGACACAGUCACCCACCAAACAUGAUCACAAAUAUUUGGUUUUUGUAGAAGCUCAUUAUGGAUAUGUUGCAGUAUUGUGGAUUUACCAACUCCCCCCAUCCCAUAAAUGCCAAUGGUUGAGACUUCCCCAUCCAUUAACAAAGACCAUAUCACCUUCGUAUUCUCUUUGAAUGCUUGACCCACUGGCUUUGUAGAGCUAGUAGGUAAUGGAACUCCUCUAGUCUUGUUGUAUUUCAGACUUUCAGAAGAUCUAGCUCCAGCACCAACCUGCACUGAUCUUCGACUAUUCUCCACUUGUUCUGUCCUCGGUCUGCUCUCGAGUGCCCCUUCGGAAACUCCAUCUUCAUGUGCUCUCAUUCCGGUCAUGCUUACUACGUCGUUUCCUGCUAUUGCAUGUGAAGUAAUCCUCUCUUCCCCUACUCCGGGUUCUACAACCUGAACUUCUCUUUGUACCCUUCCAAUUCCUCCUUCCAUAUUUUCAAUCUCAAUGUUUUGUUCUUGUGGACAAGUUGAAAUUCCCAAAUCAUUAACAUUGACUGAACUUGCUGUGCUUUUAUGUCUUUUGUUGCCACCACACAUAGCUAGAAAGGCUGCUUCUUGAACUUCUGUAGUCACCCCAGGACAAAUGGCAACAUUAUGCCCUCUCUCUCUUGAUAAAUGCCAUUUGAUCCUCGAAAUGGAAGUAUCCUUGGCAUAUGUAUGUGGACAAAACUUACACUUCAUCCUACCAUCAGCCCUAUAUUCAACAUAAUUCCAAAACGGAUAAUUUGAUCCAACCAUUUCGACCUACAGAAAAAAAGGGGGGGUCAAAAUAUAGAAUAAAAAUCAGUCAAAAUAAAGAAUAAAAAUCCUAUCUGGAUGGAUGAGAAACUACUUCAGUUCUGUUACCCCUAUUUUGCUAUUAAAAUUGAUAGUUAGUUUAUAGCACAAUCAUAGGGGGAAAAAAGACGACAAUAAUUCAGUUAGACUUCUUACUUGUUGAGUAUUUAAACCCCUAUUUUGACUUUGCAAGGAAGUGUCAGGGCCAGGAUUUGAGGCAUUUGGCGUAGCAGUUUGAUUUUGCAAUCCUCGGACUUGGAGGUUAUCCAUCUGUGACCUAUAUAUAAAUGAAGUGAUCAUAUUAUAAAACCUUUCCAUAAUUGGUAGUCUCUCUUAAGCAGUAAAAGUUAAUGGUAUUAAAACACAACAGCUGGAAGUCAAUCAGUACCUAGGCACGAAGUUCUCUUGUUGCACAUUGUCUAUGUUAGGAAUUACAGCAGCUUGAUCGACUUGUCCUUGAUUAGAAAAAUAUUGACUCCUGAAUCCAAAAUCAUUUGCAAACAAUAUGUUUAGUUUGUUUGAUUCAUGUUCAAGCUAUGAUGUUUCUUUCCUGAUUGAAAAACUACUUUUUUUAUAUAGAAAAUACUAAACAAGAAAAAUUGGAGCAGGAAAAGAAGGUCCAAAUGAGUAUUGGAGUACUGAUGCCUGAAUAAUAUUCAAAUAGUUAAACUUAGAACUGUUAUUCUAACUUGGUUGAUUUUCUAGUUCCAUUAUGUGCACACAAAAAGAGAGAGAGAGAGAGCUCAAAAAGACUUGAAAGAUCCUCGUCAAUUUUGGUCAACUUUGUUGUUUUCAUGAUUAAAAAAGUGUAUAUUCGAGGUUAAUACCAUCGAUUCAUCGCAGGCACAUGAUUGCUCAUAAUUGGUAACUGAUAAUCAGUCCAUUGUUGGUCCCUAAAUUAGCAACAUUUGUUAGUGAUUUCUUUAUACAUAUGCAUAAUUCUUUGCUAUUAAUCCACUAAGCAUUUGAUAUCAUUUUAGCUUACCUCAAAGGCAUUGAUGGUCCAGGCAGCAUGGGAUUGACACAUUGAGGAUCACGUAAAUUAGGAUUAGGCUGAUACCUAUAUUCAAACAUAAUGAAUUCACUGAUAAGUAAAACAACAAGAGGAAGAAGAAGAAGUUAAAUAAUGAUUGAAAAACUUUUUUUUUAAAACAGAAAAUACUAAAAAUGAAAAAUUGGAUACCGGGGAGGAGGAAAAGAAGGUCCAUGUUGAUUGAAGCCACCAUGUUGUGAAGUGGUUGCGUUCGGUGUCAUAUAGCCAUGUCCCGGCUGAGGUUGAUGAAUAAAGGAAUUAUGAUGCCUUGAUGGAGUUUGAGGCCAAUUUGGUUCAUUUUGAUUGAUCCAUGAUGAUGAUGUUCCAUCCAAACCUCCCAUUGUUGUCUGUUUGUUUAACAAUAAACAAUUAGAAGAUGCUCGAGAUAAAUCGAUACACUAAACUUUUUGUAUAACACAAACACUUGCUAAUUCAAUAGACAUUGUAGCAAAUUGGAGUAAGCAUGAGUACUCACCAUGGUUUCAGGAAAUGAAGUUGGAAACUGAGUUGUACUAUCGUUGAUCACAUUGUUCCAUCCAAACCUCCCUUGAUCAUUGCCUUGGUUGACUGGAACCUCCGAUGCCGGCCUGCUUCCAUGGAAUAAUAGGAUAAACUGAAGAAUAACUAAAUUGCAAGCAAUCAUCUUCUGAUAAAAUAUGCUUAAGAAUGACGUACGAGAGAAGCUCAGAUAUAUUGAAUGUAUCAUCUUCUGAUUGAAAAUCCAGCUGAUCCCAUGUCAUGUUGUCAACCUCCUCCAUAGAAGAUGGUUGGAACCCUUCCAUCUGACCAGAAAACAUCAGAAAAGACAAAAAAAAACUGAGGUCUAAAAAGAACAGAAAGCACAGAUCAGAAAAGAAUAUAUAUAUCCCAUUGUUGUCUGUUUGUUUAACAAUAAACAUUUUGAAGAUGCUCGAGAUAAAUUGAUACACGAAAACAUAAAACUUUUUGAUCCAAUGGGUGAUACAAACACUUGCUAAUUCAAUGGACAUUGUAGCAAAUUGGAGUAGGCAUGAGUAAUCACCAUGGUUUGAGGAAAUGAAGGUGGAAACAGAGUUGUUUGUUGAAUACUAUCGUUGAUCAUAUUGUUAUCCACCACCAUGUUCUGUCCAUCUUGAUCAUUGCAUAAUAUGGAGCUUUGGUUGCCUGAAACCUCCGGUGGCGACCUGCUUCCAUAGUCAGUAACAUUAUUGUAAAUAAUAGGAUAAACUGCAAGCAAUCGUCUUCUGAUAAAAUAUGCUUAAGAAUGACGUACAAGAGAAGCUCAGACAUGAAUGCAUCUUCUAGUGAUUGAAGAUCGAACGGAUUCGAUGUCACGUUGACAUCAUCCUCCAUAGAAGAUUGUGGGAACCCUUCCAUCUGACCUCAAGUACAAGACGAUUAGUGUGUACUGAGGUGGAAAAAGAACAGAAAGCUCAGAUCAGAAAAGAAUAUAUAUAUUAAAAAAAUAAUUAUGACUUGCUUAUUUGUUAAAGAAAUUCGGAUGAAAAAUAUGAAAUAUAAAUGUUGUUGUUAAUGAUUUAACCCUUUGUAUUUAAAGCUAAAUUAUCAUACUCAAAUUAUAUCCUAAAACUCUAGAAUGAUAGAUAGAAAGAUGCAGGAGAAGGAAGGUAGAAGAGCUGAUUGUUUUGACGGGGUAAACAAAAACCUCUUUCAAGUUUCAAGUCCUAUUUAUUCAUAAUUUGGGGAGCAAAACACAUGCAAGAUUAUUUUUGUUAACUACAAAAAUCAAUUCCCUCUAUUUUAACCCUUAGUUACACUUUAUAAAGCACACACAAAAAUAAUAAUAGGAUAUUGUUAAUUCAUUGAAUCAUUGUAAGAAAAAAAAAAGUUGAAAAAUAUUGAAAAAAAAAUAAAUGGCAGUCCCAUUAAUUGGAAAAGAAAAGGGUGAAUCUAAAAGGAGGAGUCUAAAAGGAGGAGUUAAAAACAGCAAAGAAUCUUGAAAAGACGAAAACAAUGAAUUCAGUAUUAAUUUAGUAUGAACACCACAAGGCAUGGAUUAUGAAAUCCGAGAAAAAGAUCGAUUAAUUUAUCAUGGAUUACUUUAAAGAUUCAGACAAGAUGAAGUACAAAUAAUUUACCUGGAUUCAAGAUGUUCUUCAAGUGCUAGCUGGAUUACCUAAUAAGGAAGGAAAAUAGGGAAUUGUAUAAUGAGAUGAGAUGUGGAAGAGAAUGUCACAGCAACAAGGUCGCCUCAAUAAUAAUAAUUAAUUAACGUAUUGUUUGAUAGGAAGGAAGUUGCCAGGAAGAUACAGAAAGUUAACGUGUGGACCCGCCCCAAUGUUGACACUUCGAAGAAGCUGCCAAGAAAAUGUAAACACAUGAAAUUUUAAAAAAAAUGAUAUAUUAAUGUAAACACAUGAAAUUUAAAUAAAAAAAAAUAUACUUUUUAUUUAGAAAUACAUUAAAAUAAUAUUUUUUAUUUUUUUAUUUUUUAUAUCAUAAUAUCAAAAUAAUUAAAAAAAAUCAAAAUUUUAAAAAAACACAUUGCGUACGGUAAACUGAUAAUGCUAGAUUAAGUGUUCAAAUGAGAGUGAGGCUCCAAAUCUAAUUACGUAGCAAUUACUAAUUGGGAUAAAAAGAAAUUAAAAGACAAAGUUAUGCUUCUGCCGUUGAGUGUGUAUAUUAGAUCAGAGUGAUUUUACUUAACCAUGAAAUUUGAACAGCUAGGCAGAUAGCAGAAGGCUAGUGGAACCACUGCUGGGCUAGAAAAUGAAUGUUGCCGUUUUUCAGUUUAUUAGAGAGAGGGCAGAAAGCCUUAAUUAGAAAAUAACUUCAUAGCUUCAAACAAUGAGAGGGAGCUUCAGUGCAGCAGGAAACUUCAACAUCUAUUAUAAAAAUUGUGUUUGGUAAACGCUGUGUAAAUUAUGUGUUUAUAAAUUUUAAUUUUUGUUAUUAAAAAUUAUUAUUAUUAUUAUUAUAUUUUCAGAUUAUUUUGAUGUGUUAUAUUAAUAAAAAAAUAAAAAAAAUAUUAUUUUGAUGUAUUUCUAAGUAAAAAACACUUUGAACUAUAAUCGCUAUCACAAUUUCAAAAACAUUCUUAUGAUUUGAUAUCCAAUCUGCACAUGAUUUUUCUACUAAUACAAAGAUCGUGUUUUUUUGUUGUUGAAAAAUUAUAAACCAAUAACUUUUUAUCUUUUUCCAAGCUUUUUGGUGAUUUUUUUAAUCUCAAAUUCAUGAACUAAAAAGGUAGCAGCGUGAAGCCUCGCCAAAAGCCCAAGAUUAAAAAUAACCAUGCUCCUAGCCCAAGCCCACCAACAUCACCCCCAGCAGAUUGGAAAAAUGCUCAUAACCAUUCCGGAAAAACACACCUAGGCUACUAUGGUAUACUAGAAAGUGGAAAUAAAUCGAUAUUAAUCAUCAAAUAAAUCGUUAGCAGAAACCAAAAAUAAAUAAAUAAAUUGUUCAUGCUACUCCAUCUUAUUGAUGGGAAUGGCUUUUGACCAGCAUUAAUACGACUCUGCUAAAAUUAUCUGACAAAUUAUCAGGCUUAUAAAAAAACUUAAUAAAAUCAGGAAAAAAAAAUCAUUUUUAUUCAAUAAAAUGGAGAAGAAAACUCAAGUAAUAAAUGUUCAAUUCACUUUCCAGCCGACAAUAAAGAAUGAAAGUAUUUUUAUUCAAUAAUACUUCUUGGGCUCAUACGGUGCCAACAAUUAUAUGAGAAUCAAAUCUCUCCGAUCACAUGGUCGUUUAAAAUGCUCAAUGCUCAACACUCAAAAAGCAAAUUUACAGAAUAAUAAAUCUAGUAAAUUUCUUGAUUUAUAUAUAUAUUAUUCAAUCAAAUAAUUGCUUGUAACAUAUAUAUGGCGAGCUUCCUAGUAUUAAAAAUUUAAGAUUAUCAAAUAAUUAAACUUUUUAUCCAAACCAAUAAAUUUUAUGUGUCUAUUUUAAAAUUUGGUUUUAAAAAGAAAAUCGAAAUGACAUAUCAAACAAUACCUAUAAAUCUUUUAUAUUACAGAUUAGCUAUAACCAGUGCACCCAUUUAUCAUUUCUAAGGUCAAUAUUUAGAAAUAAAUAAAUAAAAGCUACGUACCAAUAUUUAAAUUAAGUAAUCUCAAAGACUACUAAUUUAGCUUUUGAUAUUAAAAGGGCGUAUGUCGGUACUCUCUACCUAGUUGAUGAGGGAAAUAUCAGGUCUUCUAUCUCCACUACUCCCUGCUAACUCUUUGCCUCAUAUCUUAAGUUAUAUCUAUCAAGUUUGCUUAAUUAAGAUGGAAUAUUUAUGAAUUUUAUAUGUAUUAAAUCAAUAUAAUUGUUUUGACUUAUCAUGAUAAACAUGAAGUGAUCAUAUUAUAAAACCAAAAAUCAAUGGUGUAUCUAAAUAUAAAAAGGUAUAAAUAUUGCUAGGAAGUUAACGUGUGGACCACCCCAAUUAUGAAGAUCGGAAGAAGAUGCCUAGAAAAUGUAAACACGUGAAUAUUGAAAACAAUAACAUACUUUCCUUUUUAAAAUGUUUUUUAUUUUAAAAAAAAAUUAAUAAAAAAUUAAUAAUUUAAAAAGUAAAAAAAAAUUCAAUUUUGUUGAAAAACGUGUGCUUUAACAAUGACAUAUUAAAUAUGUGAUUAAUUAAGAGCAUGUGAUUGCUUUUGUUUUUAGUUGUUUUUUCAAAAAUGAUAAAUAGAUUUUUUUAAUGUUUUUUUUAAUUUUAAUGUAUUGGUAUUAAAAAUAAAAUAAAUAAAUAAUUCAUGUAGUAUAUUUCUAAACCAAUAUGAUAUUGAAGGUCAAAAUAAAAAAAAAUCAAUUAAAAAAAUUAAAAGAUAAAACAAACAUAUUCGAUCAGUGAGUAAAUCUGUCAAACCUGUGAAUCAGGUAACUUGGACUAACACAUCAAAGUCAUUAACAAGUUUAUGGACUCUAGUAGGAUUAUAUUUAAAAAAAAAAUUAUUUAACAAUAUAAUAAAAAUAGAUAAUUAUAAAAUUAAACAUCAACCCAAUAAUAAUAUAUAUAUUUUUAGACAGCGAUACCAUCAUACAAAGAAAAAUAAAACCAAUUAUGGAACUAAAUUCUAAACCAACCCAAAUAUUAAAUAGAAAAAAAAAUUAAAAAAAUUGAUAACCAACAAAAAAGGAAAAGAAAAAAAAAAAGCAAAACCCUAUAAACACGUGAAUAGCAGUUCUCCUACACCGUUUAGCUUUUUUUAAAAAAAUAAUAAGCAAAAAAAUACUUCAUUAAACCAGUAAACUAGUAUAAAACAUGUUAAUUUUAUAAAAAAAAAAUAAAAAAAAUAAAAAAAUUAUAAAGUUAAAUUUUAAAUCACCAGUGUAAAAUAAACAAAAAUAAAAGAAAAAAAACAAAACACAUUGGAUUACUUAUUAUAAUUUACAAUGAAAUAGGUGUGAAUACGUCUCUUAACUAUUCGUGAGCUUCUUAUUUGUUCUUAGUUUUUCUUGUUUUUUUUUUUUCUCUGGUGGAAUUCCCACACGUCUUCUUUGUGGGCAGCCCCACUUUUAAACCCAGUUUUUCAUCACGUCCCCAUGGUCCCCGUGUCCCACACGUUUUCAUCAAAAACCUAAAUUUUAGGACUUCUUUGGCAGCCACGUACAUGCUUUAGUUUUUUUCUUUUAAAAAAAUCAUCAUCAGAGACUAUUUUAUAUACCGGGGAGCUUGUUUUGAAUGCGGUAGUAAUGAUAUUUUAAAGUAUGUUUUAUCUAAAUAUAUAUAUAAAUAAUUUUUUUAUUUUUUAAAAAUUAUUUUUAACAUUAACACAUUAAAAUAAUCUAUAAAUAUAAAAAACUUAUUUAAAAAAAUUAAAAAUUAAAAAAACACAAGCAUUCCCAAACAAGGUAACGCAUCAAGAAUCACAACAAUAUGUGAGUGGAAAGUUGUGAUUAAAAUACUUGAAGUGCAUCCAGGAAAUGUAAUUAUUGUUAUUUUUAAAAUAUUUUUUAUUUAUAAUUUUAUUAAAAUAAAGAUUGUUCGUUUCGUUUUAUUUGUAAUGGUUUCAUAUUAAUUUAAAAAAUAAAAUAAAACAAAAUAAUUUUUAUCUCAUUUUAAAUCUCAAUCCCUUCCAGAUUUUUUGGUUAAAUUCAGUUCAGAAUGUUCCGGUUUUAUUCCACAUGUUCUGUUCCGGUCUUAAAAAAUCAUUGAAUCAAAUUGAACCUAGUUCAAUUAAUUAAUUAAACCAUUAAAGUAUAAAAAACUCCUUUUCAUUACUAUUUUCAUUAACUAUGAUAUUAAUUUUUUAAAAUUAGAUUUAUCACUAAUAUAUAUGGUUUAUAUUCAUAUUGUUUUUUUUUUUUCAAGUUUAUACGUUGUAGGAAUUUAAGCAAAAAUAUGGAUGUUUUAGAUCUUAUUGGUCUUGAUAACAUUGACCUAUCUUUAUAUUUAAAAUAUUAGUGUUAAAAUAUUUUAAUUUUAUAAUAUUUUAAUAUUUUAUUAAAGUUGAAUUGUUUUAAGUUAAAAAAUUAUUUAAUCUUAACUAUUUAAAAAUAUUUUAAAUUUUAAAAUUAUAUUUCAUCACGUCUCCAUUAUCCCCGUUGUGUCAAAAACAAAUUGCCUAAAUUUUAGGCUUUAGCAGUUCCUUUUUUGAAAUCCUCAUUAGUGAAAUUUCACGUCUGCUUUGGCAAUUCCUUUUUUGUGUGUUUUCAUCUUAAACUCGUGACCAAAAGGUAAACACUAUAAAAUUUUAGAUUAUAAUUAAAAAUAAAAAAGAUAAUAAUUAUUGGGAUUAGAAUUUUAGAAAUCACGCAUAUGCUACUUUCUAGUUUUAGUAUUAAAUUUAGUAUUUAAAAAAUGUGUUUAUGAAUAUGGCAGUUUCAGGUUUAGAAACCAAAACUGUCAUAUUCGUACUCUCUUAGACAUUUUAAAAAUGUAACCAUCUAGGUGGUGGCCUAGUAGUAAGAACUUGAAACUAAAAGGUUUGCUUUCUUUGUGGUCUCAGGUUUGAGCUCUGGAUUGCUCAUAUGAUGGCCACUGGAGGCUUACAUGGUCGUUAACUUCAGGACCCGUGAGAUUAGUCGAGGUGCGCGUAAGCUGGCCUGGACAACCACGUUAAACUAAAAAAAAAAAGAUGUGUGUAGAAGAAUACUUUCACUGAUGAUUUAUAAUAGUGAAUAGAUUUAUUAUUUUAUUAGGUUACUUUAAUGAUAAAUCAAUAUAGUAUUUUUUUUAUAUUUUUUGGAUUUUCAUCUUGGGGAAACUCAAUAGGAUGAAAAUAAAAUAUUAAUCAAACUUAAAAUAAUAAUUGUUUAUCUAUCGAAUUAAAAAAAAAAUAUGACAAUUCAGUGGUCUUUAAUGAAAUAAAAAAAAUGAAAAAUGUUAUUUAUGUAAUUGUAAGCAUACUAUUAUAUUACUUUACAAAGGAAUGAAGGACAUCCUUUGCAUUAGGAUGCUCCCACACCACUACUGACUCCCACCAUUGUCUUGGACUUGCUCGGAUUUUUUUAAGAGAAGGGGGAGGAGAUGGCUGGCCAUUUUCAAGCAACGGAAGAUAAAUUGACAUCCUCGUCAGCUUCUCACAAGAUAUUACUUCAAUAUCUUCAAGAGAAUUACAAAUCAGUUUUGCACUGCAAAUGCUUUUCAGUUCUGGUAAGCGAACCAAUUCCAGAGUUAUUAACUUUGGGAGAAUGACUUCCGUGAUGGAAUUGGAGCUACUGCUUUCUUCAUCUGUUGUUCCUAUUAUCUCCUCCAUUUCGUAACAGAAACUCACUUCAAUCCUUUCCAGGUUUACGAGGUUUGGCAGCAACACAAGCGGGAAGAGCUUCUUCAUACUUUUACAUUUAAAACAAAAAAACUCUUUAAGACCAGAAAAUGUACCGUUACAUGAUGGCAAUCGUGGUGGAGCAGAGCAGAACCAAGAAGAUGAAACCAAGCUCUCCAUGUUAUUGCCAUCCCGAAUGCUGAUGCGCUCCAAUUCAGUUGCAUUCUCUAAUGACAAAACAUCACAUAAACUUCUUGCAUCGAUGCAUUCACAAAUCAGUCCUUGAAUGCCAUUUAAGAACUUGACCUGAAAAUCUCUAUCUCCUUUGAUACUCAAAUAACCCAACCCAACUGUUUUACUUGGAAAAUCUUCAAUGCAUUGAUCUAAAUAACUACCCACCUCUCCUACGAAAAUCUUGCAUGUGCUUAAUGAUAGGAUCCCAUCCCCAGAUCUGAGAUACUCCACGAAGUCAGAAAAACCUUCGAAAUGGCACUCCAAAGUUUCCAAAUUUCUCAAGGAUCCUACUUCCUUUCCUUUUAACUGUUAUCGGAGCAUCAUCUUGCGCAAAACUCUUCUAGUACAAAGACUUGCAGGUGAGAGAGUUUUGGUAAUAUCCCACUAGGAAACUCCUUUUCACCACAUCCAUUCAUUCUAAGAUACCUCAGGUUGGUUAGGCAUUCCAUUCCUUGCGGCAUCUUUUCAAGUCGAGUACGAGAGAGAUCCAACCUCUUCAGUGCCCUGAGCUUCUUUAAUGAUGGAACAUAUCUUAAGUCACACUUGAGCAAUAACGCAGUGAGACUCACCAAAUCAGAGACAGAGUCUGGCAAGUUUUCAAUACCUGUCCAAGACAGAUCGAGGACCUUGAGCCCAUGCAAUUGCUUGAAAAAUGAAUCCGCAAUAAAUCGCAACAACGAUUUUUACAUAGCAAUAGAGUUGAUAGAAGGGACACCUGGUGAAUAGCUGGAAGGAAUUUCUUCGAUCUUUUCUCAUUAGUGAAACCAUCGUCAGAUUCUCCGUCCACUCCUCUGCAUCUGGCAACUCUUUUAAUUGCGCACCUGCUUUAACCAUGACUUGAUAUUCGUCUUGCAGUAUUGGAUGGCCAUGUCCCUAAUCAAGUCAUGCAUCUUGACAGUCUAUAUCAUCAUACUCAUUUAGCACUUUCCAAUAGGCAGACAUUCAAGUCUAUUAAGCAUCGUGUGGCCCUCAUCAAAUGCAUCUCCCCUGCUCCUCUUUCCUUUAAUUAUUCCCUCAUCGAUCAAAUAACCUAUCAACUCCCCUUUCAAUCAUAUCAUCUUCAGGAAAUAAUGCACAGUACAAGAGACAUUGUUGUAGUGCUAAAUCACCUAACCGAUCAUAACUAAACCUCAAUAACCUGAAUACUUCUCAUCUAUGUCCCUAAAUUCUGAUUCUCUCAAUUUGUUCAAUGUAUUUCUCCACUCAUGUGGUCAUCCACUCCCCUCAAGCUUCCUGCCACUGCAAUAAUUCCCAAUGGCAAACCAGCACAUUCCCAGCAAUAUCUUUCGCAAUUCCUUCCACUUCUGGUAAAAGUGCUAUGUCACGUCCAAGUUUUCCAUGAACAAAGUCCAAGCUUCUCCCUCGAAAGGCUUCACUUUGAUUUGUGUGGCAAGCCAUCCGAUGACAAACCGUUUCUGAUCUAGUUGUCAUAAUCAGCUUGCAUCCUUUCAACACACAGGAAUUCCCACUUCAUCAAGCUCAAAAUUGUCCACAAAUCAUCUAAAAUGAGAAUCCAUUUUUGUUUCCUUAAUUCUUCUGACAAUUUGGCAGCUCUAUGCACAUCAUCUUCGUUUGCAAGGUCUAGAUGAAGACAUUUAGCUAUAUAUUCUGCAAUCUAGUAAUGCUGAAAUCUUGAGACACAGUCACCCACCAAACAUGAUACAAAUAUCUGGUCUUUGUAGAAGCUCAUUAUGGAUAUGUUUGAGUAUUGUUUUACCAACCCCCCCAUGCCAUAAAUGCCAAUGGUUGGGACUUCAUCAUCCAUUAACAAAGACCAUAUCACCUUAUUCUCUUCAAAUGCUCGACCCACUGGCUUUUGGAGCUAGUAGGUAAUGGAACUCCUCUAGUCUCACAAGAGAUACCUCUCUCCAGAUGCUGCACUUGUUCUGUUCUCGGUAUAGUUUCAGAUCCAUCAUGCAGACGCUCCACAUCCUCAUCUUCCUGCAUUAAAUAGGUAGAGAUUUCAUUUCAGCUGCUGCUCCUUUGAAAGGGCAGAGUGUAUCUGAACCCAAGUGCCAUCAAAUCUGUUCCUGUGUGCUUCUCCUCUAUUCUCAUAAGCAUCAACUCUGUCCAACACUUCUUCAACAAAACGAUUCCUUCACCAGUGUACUCCAUGCCUUGAACUCCCGCUUGCAUCCUUCCAGCAUCCCUGCCAAAUUAACAAGUACUGCAUUGUCUUGUUCUUGUGGACAGGUGGAAAUGGCAUAAUCAUUAACAUUGCUUGAACUUGCUAUGCUUUUAUGUCUUUUGUUGCCACUUCGCAUAGCUAGAAAGGCUGCUUCUUGAACUUCGUUAGGCACCUGACCACAAAUGCCAACACCAUGCCCUCUCUCUCCUGAUAAAUGCCAUUUGAUCCUCGAAAUGGAAGUACCAUUGGCAAAUAAAUGCCCACAAAACUUACACUUCAUGCUUUCAUCAUUCAUAUCUUCAACUUCCUUCCAAAACGGAUCAUCUGAUCUAACCAUUUUGUCCUAUAGAUAAAAAGGGUCAAAAUAUUGAAUAAAAAUUAAUGGAAGUACAUUAAUUGGAAAAGGAAGGUGAAACUAAAAUAAUAAGUUACAAACAGCAAAGAAACUAAGAAGAAAAACCAAUGAAUUCAAGGUUAACUUGGGGUCAGUUUAGUAUGAACUCCAUAAGGCAUGGAUUGUUACAACUGAGAAAGAUCAAAUUAUUUAUUUUUGGAAACUGUUGAUGAUCCUAACUCCAAAGUUUCUCAUUAGAAUUUCUACAAGCUGUGUUUUACUUGAAAGAUUCAAACCAGAACAUGUGAAAAACAAAAUGAAGAAGAUGGAGUAUAAAUAAUUUACCUGGAUUCAAGUUGUUCUUCAAGUGCUGGUUUCGCUUAAGUAGUAUCAGAAAAAAACAAGAACAGAGAAGAAUAUAGGUUUAAAAAUAACAAGGAAGUUGCAAGAUGUUGAGCUCCAGAUGAUUCGAUUCAAUCAGAAAAGGAAGCACUGAUCAUCAGAAAGGUUUAAGAAAUUUGAUGAGGGAAAUGGGAAAUCAAUGGUAUAAUGAGAUGAGAUUUGGAAGAGAAUGUUACAGUAGCAAAGAUUAUUGUAUUGUUUGAGAAGAAGAGAAUUGCUAGGAAGGAAGCCACAAACUUUACCUACCAGAGAUUAUAUUAUAAGAUAUGGCAAGUUGCUGUACACCUCAAAUUUGCUUUUCUUUUGUCUAGCUCUGCAUAUAAUUAAAAACUUCAACAAAAGAAUCAGAAGCUAAUUGCUGUCUGAGUUAACGUGUGGACCCACCCCAUUGUUGAAACUUUGGAAAAAGCUGGCCUGAAAAUGUAAGAGCCUGAAGCUUAGCUUCAAGAGCUGUAGCAAAGCAUUGACCGUCAUUAUCUGAUCCACUCCAGCUUCCAUUCCCUACAAAUUUAACGAAGAACAACAUUAGCAAAAAAAAAAGAAUCUUGCUUAGGGUACUGAAACUACCGUUUUAUAGAUAACUUAAGAAAUUUUACUUAUGAUUACCUACUUAGUUCACACCUUGAGCUUGAGAGAUCAGGCAGAAACACAAGUUUGAUCGCUCCCAGAAAGGUUCAAAAACUGCUUUUCCUAGUUAGCAUUUCCAUGAGCAGUAAGCGUCCUAUUCGUUUCGUUGCCCACGCUUAGUUUCGAGGUGUCAGCAACGUUCUUCUGAGCAUAAAUUCUUCUUUAUGAGUUUUUAUCUUAUGAUUCAAGAAGUUUAUAUUGUAAAUUCAAGAAUUUUAAGUUUAUAGUCAAUUUUAUAGUUCAUAAAAAUAUUUGAUCCCCGAAUGAGUUUUCUAAUUGUGUUCUUAAUUCCUGAACUUGUUUUCUAAUUGUUUUGCAUAAAUUCUUAAGAAAAAAUAUUUUAACAAUAGUUUUUGUGCUAAAAAUGCUACUCUAUUCGACUUUUAAUUCAAAUUGUAUUUAUAUAGUUAAAUGUUUUUCUCUUUAAUAAAUCCAUUAUUGGAUUUGAAAUUUAUAACUUAUUUUAUAAUUCAAAAUGGAGAUUUGGUUUGUUUUUCAUGUUUUUUAUUUUUGUAAAACUGAUUGAAAAAAUAAAAAUUACAUCAAGACAUGUCAACUUAACUCAAAUCAGCAAGAUCAAAGACACAAAUGAAUAAUAAAUUUUAAUAUUCAUAGUUGAUGACCGAUGCAGUAAAAUCUGACUCUGAUCUAUAGUAUUGCACUGCAUUCCUUUAAAAUUUGAUAUUGUUUUUGUUUAAAAACUAAUUUAUUUUUUUAUUGUUUUUACAUUAUUUUGAUAUGCUAAUAUUAAAAAUAAUUUUUUAAAAAUAAAAAAAUAUAUUAUUUUAAUAUAUUUUUAAACAAAAUUUAUUUUAAACCAUAACUGCUAUUAUAUUACCAAACACAUCCUCGUCCCGUUACUUUUUAUUGACCUCUUAAUUUCAAAGAGAACCUUAGCCAUUCCUUUAUGCAAGUGCACGCUUUGCCAAACAAUCCUUUAGGAUAAUGGGUUGCCCUCCGACGGCUUGCCAUAACAGGCCAGGACUAAUUUCGACUCUUCGUUGGCGAUAGCGGUGAUGUGAAUGAUGACACUUCUCUGCAUCCUUGACCAUUUCAAUUCCGAGAACUCCCCCACCAUCCCAUAAAAAAGUAGUCCUUCUUCUUUGAAUAAUUUUCCCAAUUAGUCCUUAUAUUUUAGAUAUGGUCUUCAACAUGCUUUUACAAGUUUAAUUACUCUUAAAUUGCCCUUAAGACAUUUCCUAAUCUAUCCUUUUAAUAAGUAUCUUUGUUUAAGCUAAUAAAGAUAUAAUUAUUAAUUACUUUAAAAAACGCAAUCCUACCUAAUUUAUUAAAAAAAAGAAAAUUAAGAUUUGUUUUUAUGUUAAUUUGUUUCUAAUCUAUCCUUUUUAUGUUUUUAUGUUAAAAUUAAGAAAAUAAAGAUAUAAUGAUUAAUUACUCUGCCGGCGACUUGCCCGUGAAAUUAAUGCAGUUGUUAUCUCUAUAAACUAUCGGCUUGCUCCUGAGUACAAGUACCCAUGCCAGUACGAAGAUGGCUUUGAUGCAUUGAAUUACAUCGAUGACAUGACCUUUGAGAAUUUCCCAGCAAAUUUGGAUCUUGGAAGGUGUUUUAUUGCCGGUGAUAGUGCAGGAGGUAACGUGGCUCAUCAUGUCGUGCUCAAAGCUUGUGAACACACAUUUUUCUAACAUAAAGAUCAAGGGACUCGUAGCAAUGCAGCCAUUUUUCGGAGGGGAAGGAAGGACAGAAUCAGAAAUCAAGCUUGUUGGGGUUCCUUUAAUAUCAGUGGAAGGUACAGACUGGAUGUGGAAGGCGUUUCUGCCUGAGGGAUCGGACCGAAACCACUCGGUGGUUAAUGUUUUCGGACCAAAUGCGGUGGAUAUUUCAGGCGUGAAGUUCCCUGCGACGUUACUCUUUGUCGGAGGGUUCGAUCCCCUGCAAGAUUGGCAGAAGAGGUACCAUGAGGGGCUGAAGAAAUCUGGGAAAGAAGUACAUUUGGUAGAGUAUCCAAAUGCUUUUCAUGGGUUUUAUUGCCUGCCUGAAUCGCCUGAAUGUUCUUUGUUGAUCGGUGAGGUGAAGAGUUUUGUGCAAAAGCAGUCAUCUCUUACAUAGGGUGAGGAGACGACGAUCUCUAUUUUAUUAUUAUAUCUUAUUUUAUUCACAUUCUUGAAAUCAAGGUUGUCAAUUCUGUUUUGGUAAGUGUUUUGUUUUUUUAAUUGGAAUGAAAUGUUUCAGUUUCGGAGUAUUUCGACGUGCCGUUUCGAGGUUGUACUUUAUAUAUAUAUAUAUUCAACAAACAUAAUUCGAAUUCAAGAUAAAUUAAUUAUAAAUUAUGCAAUACAAACACAAUGUCAAACAAAUAUAAUUUUAAAAUUUAAAAUAUUUCUAAAUAGUCAAGAUUAAAUAGAUCGUUAACUUAAAGUAAUUCAACUUAAACAAAAUAUUAAAAUAUUAUAAAAGUAAAAUGUUUUAACAAAAAUAUUUUAAAUAUAAAGUUAGGUCAAUGUUAUCAAGUGGCUAAUAGAAUCUAAAAGAUCCCUUGUUUUGCUCAAAUUCCUACAAAGUAUAAACAUGAAAAAAGAAAAAAAAAACAUGAAUAUAAACCAUAUAUAUUAGUGAUAAAUCUAAUUUUAAAAAAUUACUAUCAUUGUUAAUGAAAAUAGUAAUAAUAAUUUUCAAUAUUAUUAUUAAUAUCAUUGCUAUUGAAAAUAGUAAUGAAAUUUUUUUUUUUAUAAUUGGGUGGUUUAAUUAAUGAAAUUGAGCAAGGUUCAAUUUGAUUUAAUGGCUUUUCAAGAGCGGAACGGAACACGUGGAAUGAAACCGGAAUGUUUCGGGCGGAAUUUAGCCGAAAAAUCCGGAACGGACCGAGAUUUAAAAUGAGAUGAAAUUUAUUCCGUUUUGUUCUGUUUUUUGAAUUGAUAUGAAAUGUUUCGGCCAUUCCGGAUGGAACGAAACAAAAUUGACAACCUUAAUUUAAAUUGCAAUGAUUUUGUUUACUAUUGAAGAUAGAUUAUUAUAUGUGUAUUGAAUUGUUCAAUUAUUUGAUGUAUUAGAUUUGACUUUUGACGGAAUGCUAAUUUGUUUUAAAUGCUGGAAGUACGUCUGAUUGGAAAAAUAUUAAAUUAAUAUUGUUUUUAGAUGUUUUUUAAUAUAUUAAUAUAAAAAUAUAUUUUUAAUUAAAUAACAAUAUUAAAAAAAUAUUUUGCUUUCCAUUACCAAUCACACUAAAAUAAUGUUGUGUCCUUUGAGCCAUUUGGUGAGGGAUGGUGAUGGUGGUUUUUUGUUUUUUGUUUAUUUUUAUACUAAUUCAUAAGUUGUGGGGUUGCCAUGUUAAAUUUCUAUUUUUAAUUGAAUAAUAUUGUUUUAAAGAAAAAACUUACACAAUAUUCUUUUAAAUAAAAAAAAUCUUUGGAGUUCAUACUAGCAGAUUUCACAAUAGUUGAUUUAGAUUAAUCGAGUCAUAAAUUAAUCUGUUAAGUUUCUUGAGUGUUAAUUGAUUUGUUAAGUUAUUUAAAUUUAAUCAAAUUAAUUUUUUAUUUAGAUGAAAAGCAAACUCGGUUGGAAUUAAAUUUUAAAUCAGUAACGUCACCGAGUUGACCCAGCUAGCUGGUUUUUACAGGCUGUGUUUUUGUACAUGUGGAGGGGAAGGGAAAUAAUGUAUAAUGAAAUGUGCAUGACAACUGGGUUGAUGGUUGAUAGUUUGACACAGUUCAUUUUUCAUUGUAUGUGGGAGAGAAGCAAUGAAGAAGAGAAGAGGACAAGAUGCCAAGAAAUAAAACGAAGACUUAUUGGAUGUUUGGUCUUAUUAGCAUAGCCAGUUGGAAGUGUACUGUUUCAUGUGGCUUAUCACUAUCAAAACUUCGGGUUUGUCUGUAAUUAUAGUAGUGAUUAAAAUUUAAAGUGUUUUUUUAUAUAUAAAUAUAUAUAAAUAAUAUUUUUUUUUAUUUUUUAAAUUAACAUAUCAAAAUGAUUUGAAAACAUAAAAAAAUAAUUUUUAACAAAAAAACAAUUGAAAUUUGAGGGAAUGCGAUUUCAACCGCGUUUCCAAACGCUCUCUUCAUGUAUUUUCAAUCACAAAGUUACUAUAAAAAUACAUGUGUGUUUGGUAUUAUAGUAUAAGGUAUUUUUCGAUUGAAAAUAUAUAAAAAUAAUAUUUUUUUAAUAUCAAUAUAUUAAAAUCUUUGAAAAAUAUUGAAAAAAAUCAUCAAUUUAAUGUUAUUUUAAAUCAAACACAUUUUUAAAACAUACUUAAAUGCAUUUUCAAACCCAAAAGUAAAUGAUAUCUUUUUUAUAAUUAUAGUCCAGAAAACAAUCUCCUACAUCUAAGCACAAAAAGGUUUCGAAGUUAAAAGUAAUCUUAUAGUAGCAUGUGUAUUGCCUUAACAUGUAAUUUAAAAUCAGAUUCGGGUUAAGUUUUAAUUUAUACUUAGUUUUGGUUAAGUUUUAAUUUAUAUUAAUUUUGAUAUUAAUAUGGUUAAUCCCAAAUAAUCUUCCUACAAUCCAAUUUACUCUUGUUAAAACUUAACCAAAUCAAAACUAGGAAAUAUCUUUCCUUCUAAAAAAAAAAGGUUUUGAAAAUCCAGAUUGAUCCUCUAACUCAUAAAUUAACCAAGUGACUUGAGCUCUUUUCGAGAUUUUAAGAUCAGAUCCCAGGCCAGUUCUGACUACUAUAAGCUCAAGUGACUGACCCAAUUCAAAAUCAUGUUUUUGACGUUUCUCGUUGGAUCAAAGUGGGCUACCCUUUGUUCCUGAAUGCUGAAAGUCUACUAUUUUUUCACAGAGAUGAAAGCAAUUAGUAAAAGCAACUGAGCCAAGAAAUAUCCAACUAGCUUGAGCACAUCUGGAAGAUUUAGUCUCUGUAUUAUUUCACUUCUCUGAAUAAUUUUUCAGGUUCCUUUUGCUGUUAUAUAAAAAUUGCUUUCUCUCAUGAGUCAAUAUCCAUUCUAUGAAAUUCUAGCGUUAGAGAGAGGUGAAAGUUUACACUUUGUAUACCAUGUUUGUUUGAUUUAAUAGCAGUGAUGACCCUUGAAAGAUUGCUCUAUAAAACAAUGUCCGGUCAUCUUUACAACUUAUUUUCACAAUCCUUCGCCGGCCAGCUGAAGAACUCUUUGAAGCUCAUCUGCCAUCCCUUGUAAGAGAACUGGUUUUCGGAUCAUUCCAUUCAUUCUCAUCCUUAGCUUCAGCACUGUUUUGCCUCCUACCAGAAGAAUUUGUGGAUGAGCUAGCUCCAUCUGAUAGAGAACUUCCUUCUCUGAUCUCCAUGUCAAACAUACAAACUCAUCAGGAGCAUUUGAUUUCCACAUCCCCAACAUUCUAUCUGUCUUGCCCACGCUAUCACUCUCUGAAAAAACUCGAAAUAUGACAUUCCCCCCUCCAUCAUAGAUAUUUAAAAGAUAUCCGACCAUGUGUAAAAUAACUUGAAAGGUCCUUCUUUCAUCUCCUAUCACUAGAUCAGGCAAAGAACGUUGAACAUCAAGUUCAAAAUCAAAACCUUUAUACACACACAAGCACUUAGCAAGGCAACAAGCUUCUUUGAUCAUGGAGCGUAGACGAAAGGGCACCUUCCGGUGUUAUCUUCUGCUGAAAUAUCCACCACAUCGUUAAUCAAAGUUGAAAGCACAUUGCUGGUUUUCACCAAUGUGUCAAUAACAAUCCUUUGCUCGACGCCCAUAUUAUCAUUUUGGAACAUAAAAAGCAAUCCCAGGAUUAAAAUAACGCCCUUUACGAUACCUUUCCAACGCAUCAAGAAUCACAGCAAUCCGAUAUGUGUGUGGAAAGUUAUGAUUAAAAUACUUUAAAUGUAUCUAGGCUGUUUCUAAGAAAAAGAACAUUACUUUUAAGUUUAUCCAGCUUUUGUUUAAAAAGUCAAGAAAAUAAAGUUCUGGAUUAAACUAAAUAAAAUAAAAACUUUAAGGAAAAGAAAAAAAAGCACGCCUAUGAAGCUUGAUAGUAUAUCAAAUUAAAUAGAAGCUCGAUUAAAAAAUGCCCUUUAAUUUCUAUUAUUUCUAUUCACAUUUUAGCAAUUUAUUCCAAUGACAGAGCAUUUGGAAUGCACUUUCAUAGACUCAUCAAAACCCCAGGAACGCCAUCAAGCAUUAGCUUCAAACAACCAGAUCCGGAGCUUCAGUGCAGUAGAAAACUUUAACAUCUACUAUGAAGCUUGAUUUGCUAUCCAAUCCACACACAGGUUUUCGAUUGAUACAAAGAUACUGUAAUUUUAACCGUCUAGUAAGUGAUUUAGUGGUAAGAGAUUUGUUAUCCAAUCCUAUAGUUGCUAAUAUUGAUGGUCACUGGAGGCUUAUUUGGUCAUUAACUUCAAAAUCUGUGAGGAUUAGUUAAGGUGCAUGCAAGUUGGCCCGGACACCCCUAAUAAAUAAAUAAAAAGAUACUAUAUUUUUGUUGUCGGCAAAUUAUCAACCAAUAACUUUUUAUCUUUUUCCAAGUUUUCUAGGUGACUUUUUUUCUCUCUCAAAAUCAUGGAUAAGUGAAUAAAAUAAAAUUUUGAAUCAUAACUAAAAAAAAAAAAAAGAUGCAAAAAGUCUAGGGAUCAAGAUUUUAAAAAUCACGUCUAUGCUACUCUCUAGUUUUAAAUAUUCAAAACAAGGCUCCAUUAUCAUAUAUUCAUAGAGACAUACCAAUGUAGCUUUUGAUGUUUACCGGUUUGGGUAUGUCCAUAUGCUUUUAAAUAUAUUUUAAAAUUUAUAUAUUUUUUUUUAAAAUAUUAAAUUAAUAAUGUUUUAGUUGUUUUUAAUGAUUUUGAUGUUUUGAUAUUAAAAACAAAAUCUAAAAAACUUAUUUUUAAAAAAUUCUCUAUAUAACAGUAUCAAACACAUGAUAACCUGGUCCAAAAGCUUUCCACCGAGCAUAAAAUGGUUUUCAACCCAAUCAUACUUUUUCCUCAUUAUAAAUAUAAAAUAAAGUUCAAGUGAAGUAGGGUCCAAUCUUAAAUGGUUCAAACAUUUUUUUUAUUAUUAACGUGGAUGUCCGGGCCAGCUUGCGUGCACCUCAACUAAUCCCACGGGCCCUAAAGUUAACAAUCAUAUAAGUCUCCAGUUGCCAUCAUAUGAGCAAUCUAGGAAUGGAACCUGAGAUCAAAGAGAAAGCAAACCUCUUGGUCCCAAGCUUUUAUCGCUAGGCCACCACCUAGAUGGUUAAUGGUUCAAACAUUAUUGUUAGAACGUGACAGUGUCCCAGCAUUAGUAGUGUAGCACGUGCCAUGUCUUAAGCUUAUGUGAGCUUAAGACAAGGCAAUUGGUGUUUGAUGAAAUUAGCUGUCACUAAAAAUAAAAUAAAAUAAAAUCCUCUUUGAACUAAUUAAUUACUCAAUUAAUUCCUAAAUUAGUUUUUUAUUGUUUCUCACAAAAUUUAUAAGAAUAAAAAUAUUUUAUUAGAUGUUUUAGAUACUCUACUAUUAUAAUAUUUUAUUUAAGUUUAGAUUUUUAUUUCAAAAUUGAAUUUUAUUUAAUAUAACAAAUAUUACAUGUUUUAUUUUAUCUGAUAAAUUUUGAAGUAUUAUUGGAUUUUAUUAAUUUUUAAAAAAUAAUAUUUUAAAAGAGUACGAAAUGUUGGAUACAAUGUUUUUACUGUUGUAACCCAUUUUUGGGUCCUCACAUAUAAAAUAAUAAAAUACAAAAAAAUUCAAAAAAUAUAUUAAAAAAAAAUAUAACAGUGAAAAAUGCCAGAGCGCCAUAAACAUGCUAAAAAAAUUUGUUUGAGGAUUUUUAAAAAUAUAAAAAUUAUUUUUUUGACAGUAUAUCAUUAACUGAUGAGAGCCCCGAUGAUAAAGAAAAUUCAAUUUGUGGAAGAAAAAUGCAAAAUCAGAAGUUUAUGGACUCAAUUAAAUUUUAUUGAAGGUUUAAUUGAAUUUAUGGAGAUUUUAAUUGCAAGAAAAAUUGAUUUUGGAGUUAAUUUGGGCUUUAAUUAGGAGAAAUUAAUUUUCUGGGGUCAAAUUAUAAUUUUUGGAAGUUAAUUUGGUCAAAUCAGGGGCUUAAUUGCAUAAAUAUUGAAGUUUAUGGCCAAUUAGGGACUUAAUUGAAGAAAUCCGAGACCAAGGACUAAAUUGUAAAACGCGCGAAAUGGAGGGCCGAAAUUUGAAUCUGAUGCUUUUGGCGCCUUUUCCUUUUAAAUGAAACGGCGCGUUUUGACCAAAACGGCGCCGUUUCAUUCACUGUUGCAAAAAAAAAAAAAAAAAAAAAACAGAAGCCCAAAACGGUGCCGUUUUGACGGCACUGUAGCCUUCUUCUUCCCCUGGACACACGAGGCAGGGGAAGAAGAAGAUUUUUUUCUUCCCCUUUUCGCCUAAUUACUUUCCCUCUUUUGCUCAAAAAGACGCCGAAACAAGGACACCACUUGCCGACCACUUUCCACGUGUUGGACGGGCGGCAGCACACCGGCCACCACCAUGACGUCCCCCCCCCUGUUUUUCGCCUAUAAAAACAGGGGAGGAAGAGGAGAAAAAAGGACAGAACAGAAGGGAGAAAGAAGGAGAGAAGGGAGAAGAAAGAAGAGGAAGAAAAGAAGAAAAAAACAGAGGAGAGAGAGAGAAGGAACCGCCGGCCACCGUGCCUCCGCCACCAUCGCUCCGCUGCCACCAGCAGCACCGCCACGACGCCACCGCAGGUAACCCUUGCCCCGUCUCCUUCUCCUUUGCUGCUGCCCUCUCUUUAUUUUCAUGCAGAACGUGAAUUAAUUCACGUUCUGCAACUGAUGAGAGGCUGGUUACUGUGCUUAUGCACAGUAACCAGCCCAUUUAGUUUGGGCCGGUUGGCCCAGCCCACUGAUAUGGGCCGGACCCGGCCCAUUUCAAUUUUAUUUUUUUUUUAUAGAAUUUUUACAAUUUUUCCAGCACAUGUUUUUAUCAAUUUUGCUUAAUAUCGUCUGUAUUUUACAUCGUAAAAAUAUAAAUUCGGUAUUAAAAUACCCGGUCGUCCCGCGGUACUGUUCACGUCACUAUUCAUACGGUACUGUUCACACAGCAUAAAAAAAAAUCAAAAAUAUUUGUUUCAGCAUUUUAUAAUUUUUCCGCGUAGUUUUUUUAUGCCAUUUUGAUUAAUAUCGGGCAGUAUUUUACAUCGUAAAAAUAUAAAUCCGGUAUUAAAAUACCCGUUUUUCGGCAAAAACUUCCAAAAAUAAAUAAAAAAAAUUGAAAAAGAAAAAAAAAAUGUUUUUGUGCAUACGGCCAAGUGUCUCAAAUCUAAAAAAUCAUAUCGUAUUUUGCAUAUGUCAAAAAAAAAAUAUUUUAGCAUGCAUUUUGGCUUUAAUAACCAGUUUAUUAAAGUCAAGAGAACAUUGGCCAAAAUCUCAAAAACAACAAAAUAUUUUAUUUUGUUUUUUUAGUAUCAGAGAUUAUGAAUUUAUACGUAAAUCGUAUUCCUGAUAUUAAAAAGAUAUUUUCUUUUGACGACUUCGAAUAGUUAGUUUUUUACCCGAUAAAGAUAAGGAUCUCCUUACAGAGGAGGACUUUUCUUAAACCGUAAACGAACCAACAAUUCAAAAAAACCACAACAUGAUUUUAGAUUUUAUCAGACAUUAAAACAAUGCAGCCUACCUUAGGUAUGGCGUAGUUGGGGUGCUAAUACCUUCCCUUUACGCAACCAGUCUCCGUACCCGAUCUCUAAAGACCAGUUAAGGUUCCUAGUAACCAGAAUACUAGGUGGCGACUCCCAGUCCAUAUUUUCACAUGUAGAGACAAGAAUUCCUUGUCUCUCCCCUAUUUUCCAGGAAUAAAUUAUUCCGAUUUUUCCUUGAGGGUGGAUGAUCGCCGCGCCGCCGCACACGUGCGACAUUUACAAUAACGCAAAACACAACAAACAUUGAUGCUAUGCUGAAUCCUUGAAACCGUAAUAUACACUUCAUAAGAAACUGUAAUAUAACAAACAGAGUAUCUGUAAGUUUCAGAGAACGACAUCAAUUUAAUUACGCGAAGUUCAAUCCUUUUUCCUCUACAAAUUAAAUCAUGUACGUAAACCUGUUACCUACAUUUUGUAAUAUUUCUGGAUCUGCUCUUUGAUUCAUCAAGGACAGAGUUGAUUGCAGCUUCGUCAUAGAAAAGUUCGUCUUCUUCAUCUUCUUGGUUGGCGAGGAAAUAUAAGUGGAAGUAUUUGAUAGCUAAGAACUCAGAAUCCAUGAGAUGAAGUAUUUGGCAAAGCCUUCCCCGUGAUUGGAGCAAUCUCACUAAUUUAUCGACGUAAUGGCUAGAAUUGUCUUCCUCUUAACUAAUCUUUAGCAAAUUAUCUUAAUAUGGUUUUACCAAAAAGAAAAUAAUAAAUUUAAGGAACGUCAUCCUCGUGGAUGCUAUAAUCUGUAAUUAUUGGCAAGGCUUUAAUAAUCACAGCAGCAGAAGAUUGAAGAAACAGGAGGCCUACGCAUUUAAUUUGGACUUCCUCGUGGAUGCUAUUCCUUUAAAUAUGGACUAAAAUUGUUUUAUAUCACAGCUAGGCAGAUAGCAGAAGGCUAGUGACUGCUGGGCAGAAAGCCUUAAUUAGAAAAUAACUUCAUAUUCUUGGGGUAGAAACCCCACGAACGCAAUCAAGUAUUUGCUUCAAACAAUAAGAGGGAGCUUCAGCCUUCAGUGCAGCAGGAAACUUCAACAUCUAUUAUUAAAAUUGUGUUUGGUAAACGCUGGGUAAAUUAUGUGUUUAUAAAAUUUAAUUUUUUUAUAAAAAAUUAUUAUUAUUAUUAUGUUUUCAGAUCAUUUUGAUGUGUUAUAUCAAUAAAAAAAUAAAAAAUAUUAAAAAAAUUAUUUUGAUGUAUUUUUAAAUAAAAAACACUAGUUUAUCUUUUGAUGUUUUUCGGUUUAUAAAAUGAACAGUGAACAGUUUACAUUGAUAUACUAUUCAUUUGAGCAAGAGAAUUGCACUGUUCACUUAAACAAUAAUGAACAGUGCAAUUCACUUGCACUAUUCACGGAUGAAUUGCACUGCCGAGAACUUUUUUUCUUAGUGUGUUAAUUUUUUCAAUAUUUUUUUUUUAAAAAAACACUAGUUUAGAGUGAAUUAAAUUCACUUGCAAUGUAAUGUGAAUAAUAUUUUUUUUCCCUGAAAAAGUAGUCUAGAGUGAAUUAAAUUCACCCGCAUUGUAAUAUCAAUUUUAUACCUGAUAAUAUUUUAUUUAAUUUGAUUAUAUGCUCAAAACAUUAUGGAAAUUGUAGUUCUUGUCGGAUGUAUUUCGUACAUAAUGGAAUUGUAUAUGGUUUCAUGGAAUAAUAAAAAAUAUUUUAUAUAAAGUAUGAUUUAUUUCAUGAUGUAAUAGCAAUAGUUAAAUCUACAAUAUUUAAAUUAAAAAUCAUCAAUAUUAAUAUAUAUUUUUUAAAAUUAUUUUAUAACCUCAAUUUCAAAAGCAUUCUUACCCAAACACAUUAAAUUACUUUUUUUUUCAACUUCAAUUUCAACUAUAUUUUUAACCAAACACCUAUUUUUUCAAACCAAUCUCAAUUAAAAAUAUUUUUUAUAAAAAUAAUUUUUUUCAAAUCACAACCACAACAUCUAUCGCAAUACUAAACACACUGAAAGGCCUAUAUACCAGCCCAACAAAUCAUACCCAGGGAAGCAAAAGCCAGAAACAAGCUACCUCGAUUCUUGCUCCACCUGGGUAAGAAAUGCAGCAUGCCCACUUGGAAUUAUAAAGCGUCCAAAUUCCAUGGCAAAUAAUUGGUUGGAAUUGUUUUCUGAGGGGUCAUUUCAAAAUCUGAAAAUAAAAAUAGAAAAUAGAUCCAGCAAAUGAUUCCAAAUAUCUUCUAAAAAGAACGAUGAAAUAUGUUUUUUUAUUUACCGUAAGGAAAGAUAUUAACGAAAUUUUUUUUUUAAAAAAUCAAUUUAAAAAAUAUAUAACAAGUCAAAAUCUAUACUUAAAAUCUUUCUCGUAUUAAAUUUAUAAUUGAAUCAAAUAAAAUAUUAAUUUAAUAAAACAUAGUUAAGUUUUUGAUAGUUGAAUAUUUAGUAUAACGGUGACAUACUAAACUAUUAAAUCUUAACAUAAAAAGGAAUUUUUAUUAUAUACCCACGAAUAACCACUGGAACGCAAUCAAGCUUUAGCUUCAAACAACCAGAGGGAGAUUUUAUAGGGAUAAAAUUUUAAAAAUCACGCCUAUGCUAUUUUCUAGUUUUAGUAUUAAAAUUAGUAUUUAAAAAAUGUGUUUAUGAAUAUGGCAAUUUCAGGUGUAGAACCAAAAUUGUCAUAUUCAUACUCUCUCUUAGACAUUUUAAAAAUGUGUGUAGAAGAAUACUUUCACCGAUGAUUUAUAAUAUUAUGUUACUUUAAUGAUAAAUCAAUAUAGUAUUUUUUUUUAUUUUUUGGAUUUUCAUCUUGGAGAAAUUCAAUAGGAUGAAAAUAUAAUAUUAAUCAAACUUCAAAUUAUAAUUGUUUAUCUAUCGAGUUAAAAAAAAAGAAGACAAUUCAGUAGUUUUUAAUGAAAUAAAAAAAUGAAAAAUGUUAUUUAUGUAAUUGUAAGCAUACAAUAUUAUAUUAGUACUGACUCCCACCAUUCUUUUGGAUAUGGCUGGCCAUUUUCAAGCAACGGAAGACAAAUUGGCAUCCUCUUCAGCUUCUCACAAGCCAUUACACUAAUAUCUUCAAGAGAAUUGCAAAUCAGCUUUACACUGCAAAUGCUUUUCAGUUCUGGUAAACCAAACAAUUCCAAAGUUCUAACUUUGGGAGAAUGACUUCCGUGAUGGAAUUGGAGGUGCUGCUUUCUUCAUCUGUUGUUCCUAUUAUGCACUGAUCAUGAGAUGUGGAAGAGAAUGUUACAGUCGCUAUCUCUUUUACAUAAUAUUAUUUAUUAGUAAGGUCGCCUCAAUAAUAAUUAAUUAAUUAACGUAUUAUCUCCUCCAUUUUCUCACAAUCAUUAACUUCAAUCCUUUCUAGGUUUACGAGGUUUGGCAGCAACACAAGCAGGAACAGCUUCUUCAUACUUUCACAUCCGUAACAAAAAAAAUCUUUAAGACCAGAAAACGUACCGUUACAUGAUGGCAAUCGUGGUGGAGCAGAGCAGAACCAAGAAGAUGAAACCAAGCUCUCCAUGUUAUGGCAUUCCCGAAUGCUGAUGCGCUCCAGUUCAGUUGCAUUCUCUAAUGACAAAACAUCACAUAAACUUCUUGCAUCGAUGCAUUCACAAAUCAGUCCUUGAAUGCCAUUUAAGAACUUGACCUGAAAAUCUCCAUCUUUGUUGAUACUCAAAUUACCCAACCUAAAUGUUUUACUGGGAAAACCGUCAGUGCAUUGCUCUAUACCUUGAUCCACCUAUCCUGAGAUCUGAGAUACUCCACGAAGUCAGAAAAACCUUCGAAAUGGCACUCCAAAGUUUCCAAAUUUCUCAAGGAUCCUACUUCCUUUCCUUUAACUGUUAUCGGAGCAUCAUCUAGCGGCAUAAACUGUUCUUGUACAAAGACUUGCAGGUGAGAGAGUUUUGGUAAUAUCCCACCAGGAAACUCCUUUUCACCAUAUCCAUUCAUUCUAAGAUACCUCAGGUUGGUUAGGCAUUCCAUUCCUUGCGGCAUCUUUUCAAGUCGAGUACCAGAGAGAUCCAACCUCUUCAGUGCCCUGAGCUUCUUUAAUGAUGGAACAUAUCUCAAGUUGUCACACUUACGGAGCAAUAACACAGUGAGACUCACCAAAUUAGAGACAGAGUCUGGCAAGUUUUCAAUACCUGUCCAAGACAGAUCGAGGACCUUGAGCCCAUGCAAUUGCUUGAAAAAUAAAUCCGCAAUAAAUCGCAACAUAUGAUUUUUACAUAGCAAUAGAGUUGAUAGAAAGGGACACCUAGGUGAAUAGCUGGAAGGAAUUUCUUCGAUCUUGUUUCUCAUUAGUGAAACCUGAUACGAAUUGAGUUUUACUCUUCGAAGUUUAUUCACAAUCUUUGUAUAUUGAAUUCAUGAUGAUAAUCCAUCAAUUACAUCUGCCUUUUAUAAAGCAGUAGGCAAUAAAGCUAUUAUAGAAAGUAAAGCUAUUAUGGAAAGGCUCCUAUAAUUCCGGCUAUAAUUUCGGUCUGUUACAAACGGAUAUAAAUAUAUUAUGUAUAGCUAAUAGUAAAGUAAAACUAAUAUAAUAUUUAACACCCCCUCUCAAAUUGGUGCAUAGAUGUUAGUCAUGCCCAAUUUGUCGAGACUGGUAUGAAAUAUUUGGCUGGAUACUGCCUUCGUCAGUACAUCUGCAAGUUGAUCUUGAGAUCGAACAUGAGGAACUUCAAUAAUCUUUUCUUCUAAUUUUUCCUUGAUAAAGUGUCUAUCAACUUCAACAUGUUUAGUUCUAUCAUGUUGGACAGGGUUAUGAGCAAUGUCGCAUGCCGCCUUGCUAUCACAAUAUAACCUCAUCGGACUUGUCUGUUCAACCUGUAAUUCCUGCAUUAAAUUUUUUAUCCAUAAUAAUUCACAUAUUGCUUUGGCCAUUCCUCUGUAUUCAGCUUCAGCUGAGGAUCUAGCCACUACUUCUUGUUUCUUACUUCGCCAGGUGACCAAGUUUCCACCCACAAAUAUGAAGUAUCCCGAUGUAGAUCUUCGAUCUUGUAUUGAGCCUGCCCAAUCGGCAUCGAUAUAUCCAUCAAUCUUCAAGUUGGCCCCCUUUUUAAAUAGAAUUCCUUUACCUGGAGAUGAUUUCAAGUAACGCAAGAUACGGGUGACAACUUUCAUAUGUUCUUCACUAGGGGAGUGCAUAAACUGUCUGAUUACACUUAAAGCAUAAGCUAAAUCAGGUCUGGUAUGUGCAAGAUACAUUAACCUUCCCACUAGUCUCUGAUAACGUUCUUUAUUAGUGUGGAUUUGUUGUUGAUGUAUACUUAGUUUCAGGUUUUCUUCUAUAGGAGUGCUGGCAGGGCUACAAGCCGUCAUACCUGUUUCUUUUAACAAAUCUAAGGCAUACUUUCGUUGUGAUAAAAAAAUUCCUUCUUUCGAUCUUGAUACUUCAAUACCAAGAAAGUAUUUUAAGUGACCUAGAGAUUUCAUUUCAAAUUCUUGUGCAAGACGAGUCUGCAAAGCUUUCUGUUCUUCAGGAUUAUUUCCGGUUACUAUCAUAUCAUCCACGUAUACGAUUAGAGCUGUGACUUUCCCCUUCGUUUAUUUUCAGGAAUAACGUAUGGUCAGAGUUACUUUGCUUGUAUCCAAUGGAUUUCAUGAAUUUAGUGAACCUGCCGAACCAUGCUCUCGGAGAUGUUUUAACCCGUAUAGGGAUUUCUUUAACCUGCAUACCUUUGUGCUUCCUUUGAUUUGCAUAAUGCAUCCAGGAGGUAAUUCCAUAUAUACUUCUUCUUGGAGAUCCCCAUGCAAAAAUGCAUUUUUGACAUCAAAUUGAUAUAGGGGCCAGUCACGGUUUACGGCUAAAGAUAGUAGGAUACGAACAAUAUUUAUCUUGGCCACCGGUGCAAAUGUUUCCAUAUAAUCAAUCCCAUAAGUCUGAGUGUACCCUUUGGCGACAAGCCUUGCUUUAAACCUUUCAAUAGUGCCAUCUGCUUUAUGUUUAAUGGUAAACACCCACCGACACCCAACUGGUACCUUUCCUGCAGGAAGUUCAACUACUUCCCAUGUGCAAUUUUUUUGAAGGGAUCUCAUUUCUUCAUUCAUGGCCUCUUUCCAUCUUAAAUCUGUUAUGGCUUCCUGCACACUGUUAGGAAUAGAUAUAGCAGAUAUUUGGUUCAUAAAAGUUUCAUUUUCCUUUGAUAAUCUAUGAUAAGACACAUAAUUAUUCAUAGGAUAAUGAGGAUUAGAGGUAAGAAGUGGUUCAUACGAAGUUUUGGGUUUUCCUCUCGUAGUUCUGUGAGGUAAAAUUUUUAGUUGAGUUUCAGAACUUACUUGAGGUUCAGUUAUGGAUUCAAGUUCAGGAUGCACUUGUAGUGGGGAUGCUGGUAAUUGAGGUACCUGAGUUUCUUGUUGCAGCACCUCUAUUCGGUCUUCUUCACUGUCAAUAGUUUGUUGUUGUUCUGCUCCUAUAUAUUUUCACUAUUUACAUCUAAUGCAUCUUGCAUGGUAUGUGAAGAUGCAUUACUAGUAUGUUUAUCUCUUGUAAUAUAUAGGUCGUCAUAACAUGUCUGCCAGUUACUCUUGUUGUGCUCUUGACUUGAGGAUUCAAGGGGAGAGUAAUACAUUUUAUUCUCAUGAAAUACAACAUCAAGUGUAGUGUAGAGUUUCUUACUUGGUGGAUGAUAGCAGCGAUAUCCUUUCUGAUGCUGGGCAUAACCAACAAAUACACACUUGAGUGCUCGUGGUUCCAGUUUAUUCCUUAAUGGUUUGUGAAGAUGAACAAACGUUGUGCAUCCAAAAACUUUUAGUUGCAAAUGUGACACAGCAGGAGAGCAUAUUGUUUUCUGAAGAACAUUCAGUGGGGUCUGAAAUUCUAAUGUGCUUGAAGGUAUCCGAUUGACAAGAUAUGUUGCUGCUGUGAUAGCUUCACCCCAAUAUUUAGUUGACAUAUGAGCUUCAAAUAACGAGGCUCGAACAACUUCAAGAAGCUGACGAUUCUUACGUUCUGCAACCCCAUUUUGUUGAGGGGUGUAAGGGCAAGUGGUUUGGUGAACAAUUCCAUGAUUAAUCAAAUAUUGUUUCAACUCCUGAUUAACGAAUUCUCCACCAUUGUCGCUACGAAGAACCUGUAUUGCAGAACUAUAUUGUGUAGCUACCAUGUUAUGAAAUUGUUUGAAUAAUGAGCUUACUUCACUUUUGCAUUUCAUUAGGCAAAUCCAUGUCAUACGUGUGUGAUCAUCAAUAAAGGAAAUAAACCAUCGUUUACCAUUAAGAGAGCAGGUAUUUGCUGGACCCCAUACAUCUGAAUGUACCACCAUGAAGGUGCUGGGCUCUUAUCAUGCUGUUUUGAAAAGGAACCCGAUGGCUUUUAGCUAAUUCACAUACAUCACAUUUAAACUCUACAUUGUUAGCUGAACAAAGAGUUUUGGCAUUAAUUUUUCAAAUAUCCAAAGGAUGAGUGUCCUAAACGUUUAUGCCAUAACCAAAUUUCAGAGGUUGCAGCAGAUUCAAUAUUUGUAGCAGAUUUAUUCAUGGAGAAUGCUUGAGCUAACUGGUGACAACUUGCUGGGGCUAAAUCCAGAUAAUAGAGCUUUCCCCUUCUAGUACCAUAACCAAUUGUCUUCCGAGUUUGAAUAUCCUUGAAAACACAAAGGUUAGGCCAAAAAAUAACAAUGCAUUGGAAAGCAAGAGUUAUUUGAGCUACUGACAGUAAAUUAUAAUUAAGAGAUGGGACAACUAAUACGGAGUCAAGACUUAUAUUCUUAGUGAGGAUAACAGAUCCUUCCCCAUUAACAGACGAUGAGGUACCAUUUGCUGAUGAUAUAGUAUAUUGUUCCGAUGGUUUAAAGGAUUUAAGCCACAAUUUGUCAAAGGUCAUAUGAUCAGUAGCUCUAGAAUCAAUUAUCCAUUCAUUUCUACUGCUAAGAGUGGAGGUAUUAAAUACUUUACCAGAUUCUUCCUCUAUGAAUGUUUCUUUCGGAUGUUGAUGUUCUGCCACAAAUGCUUCCUUAGUCGUGAGAUUGGUUUUGUUUGAAGGAUGUUCUGCCACAAAUCUCUCAGGCGUAGCCACUGCAACUAAAGCAGUAUUUGAUUUUGAAUUUCGUUUACGAGGUGCUUUAGCCGGAUCCCACCAUUCUGGAUACCCAAUUAAUUCAUAGCAUUUCAUCUUUGUAUGUCCAGUUUCACCACAGUGUGUGCAGAUAUAUUCUGACUUUGCCUUUCAAUCUCAUAGCUGCUGUUAUGAGUUCUGAUGUCUCGAUUCUUUUCAAUAGUAUGCCAUACGGGUAGUUUUCUUGGCUACCUCGUCUUGCCAUCAUUGCAGAUGACUCUGCAUGGCCAGCUCCAGCUUCAUUGUUUAAAGUAGAUCUGCGAACAGCAUCCGACGUACAUAAGCAUGAGCUUCUUCCAGAUCAGUAUCGGAUCUUUUCUAAGAAUUUCCCCUUGGAUUUGUUCAAAUUCUGCAUCCAAUCCAUUCAAGAAAAUAUGUACCCGUAAUCUUUCAACAGAUCUUCUGUAAGUGAUAAUAUCAUCCGGAUCUUUCAUUUCAGUUCUGUCCCGAUGGUCAAGUUCUUGGAAGAUUUCCAUCAGAUCUCCAUAAUAUGUGGAUAGCGGUCGACCUACCUGUUUUGUGGAGAAGGCUCUCUGGUUAAGUGCAAAAAGUUGUGAUUCGUCCGAUCCAUCAUAGAAAGCUUUAGACAAGGCAUUCCAUAUUUCUCUUGCGGUGCGCAACCGAAUGUAUCUUUUCAUAAUGUUGGUGACAUAGACAUUAGAAGCCAUCCUUUAACUUUUUGGUUUUCUGCAUACCAUCUUGAAUAAGACACAUCAGCUUCCUGUGGUGGUUGUGUUUUGCCCAUAAUAUAUUCAAGCUUUUCUCUUCCUGCAAUCUGCAUUUCCAUGAUCUGAGACCAUACAUCGUAAUUAGUUUCAGUGAGGAUAACACUGGUUGUGAAUCCAGAGUUUUCAGUUUGUACAUGGAUAAUGGGUGUAGGUUCUGUUGUCUUAUCAUUCAUCAUGGAAAAAGAUGAUCUCAGGAUGCAAAGAGGAAGAAAUGUUCAAGAAUAGGCUUCAAGAUCAGAAUGCAGAAGAAUAUUUCAAGAACUGGUUGGAUUUGUACGAUUCAAGACUGGAUUUCAAGAUAAAAAUGCAGAACCGAAGAAAUAUAUUCAAGAACAGGUUUUAUGAUUCAAGAAUAGAUUUCAGGAUCAGAAUACAGAGGGAUAUUUCAAGAACUGGUUGGAAUAGGUGAUAUCUGUAUAGCAGAACAGAUUUGACAGAUAGAAUGCAAGAUCUUUGACAGAUAGAAUGCAAGAUCUUGCUGUUGAAGUAAACUGGAAAAAAGAGAUAUAAACAGAGAAGGAUGCAGAUAAGAAGAUUUCAAGGGAAAAAUAUAUCAGUCAUGCAUUUCCAUGCUCUGAUACCAUGAUACGAAUUGAGUUUUACUCUUCGAAGUUUAUUCACAAUCUUUGUAUAUUGAAUUCAUGAUGAUAAUCCAUCAAUUACAUCUGCCUUUUAUAAAGCAAUAGGCAAUAAAGCUAUUAUGGAAAGGCUCCUAUAAUUCCGGCUAUAAUUUCGGUCUGUUACAAACGGAUAUAAAUAUAUUAUGUAUAGCUAAUAGUAAAGUAAAACUAAUAUAAUAUUUAACAAAACCAUCAUCAGAUUCUUCGUCCACUUCUCUGCAUCUGGCAACUCUUUUAAUUGCGCACCUGCUUUAACCAUGACUUGAUAUUCGUCUUGUAGUAUUUGGAUCGCCAUGUCCCUAAUCAAGUCAUGCAUCUUGACAUGUCUAAUAUCAUCAUAAUCCAUUUGAGCACUUUCCAAUAGGUAGACACAUUCAAGUCUAUUAAGCAUCGUGUUGCCCUCAUCAAAUGCAUCUCCCCUGCUCCUCUUUCCUUUAAUAAUUCCCUCAUCGAUCAAAUAACCUAUCAACUUCUGCCUUGCAAUCAUAUCAUCUUCAGGAAAUAAUGCACAGUGCAAGAGACAUUGUUGUAGUGCUAAAUCACUUAACCGAUCAUAACUAAAUCUCAAUAACUUGAAUACCUUCUCAUCUAUGUCCCUAAAUUCUGAUUCUCUCAAUUUGUUCAAUGUAUUUCUCCACUCAUGUGGGUCAUCCACUCCCCUCAAGCUUCCUGCCAUUGCAAUAAUUCCCAACGGCAAACCAGCACAUUCUCUUGCAAUAGCUUUUGCAAUUCCUUCCACUUCUGGUAAAAGUGUUAUGUCACGUCCAAGUUUUUCCAUGAACAAAGUCCAAGCUUCUCCCUCCGAAAGUAGCUUCACUUUGAUUUUGUGGUGGCAAGCCAUCCGAUGACAAAUCGUUUCUGAUCUAGUUGUCAUAAUCAGCUUGCAUCCUUUCAAUAGCAUAGGAAUUCCCACUUCAUCAAGCUCAAAAUUGUGCCACAAAUCAUCUAAAAUGAGAAUCCAUUUUUGUUUCGUCCUUAAUUCUUCUGACAAUUUGGCAGCUCUAUGCACAUCAUCAUCUUCGUUUGCAAGGUCUAGAUGAAGACAUUUAGCUAUGAGAUUCUGCAAUCUAGUAAUGCUAAAAUCUUGAGACACAAUCACCCACCAAACAUGAUCACAAAUAUCUGGUCUUUGUAGAACUCAUUAUAGAUAUGUUUGAGUAUUGUCGUUUUACCAAUCCCCCCCAUCCCAUAAAUGCCAAUGGUUGGGACUUUAUCAUCCAUUAACAAAGACCAUAUCUCCUUCGUAUUCUCUUCAAAUGCUUGACCCACUGGCUUUGUGGAGCUAGUAGGUAAUGGAACUCCUCUAGUCUCACUUGUGUUGUAUUUAAGGCUUAUAGAAGAUCUAGCUCCAGCGUCAGGCUGCACUAAUCUUCCACUAUUCUCCACACCCUCCUCCUCCACUGGUUCUGUCCUCACUCUAACCAUGUUCUGCACAUCAUACAUAACGACAUCAUUGUUUACUGAUGGAGC
rnacentral:lncRNA from 1 species